rnacentral:lncRNA from 1 species
AUAACGGUAACAAGCCACGUCAUAUAAAUGGGCCUAUAAGUUAAUUGGGCCGGACGGCCCAAGAGGCGCAUAUAAAUAAAAACCCUAGCGACAACGCCUUUAUAAACACCAAGGUAUAACUGCAUUAGGCAUAGGUGUCUCUGAUCCUCCUCCGGCUUUGUGUCUCUUUGCACGAUUCCUCUCUGUUUUCUUUUUCAUUUUUUGUCUUUUGAUUUCUGAAGCUUUGAAAGUUGUUUCUGAAAAGCAAGUUCAGCUUCUUGAUUGGAUCUUGAUUCCUCUACGGUCCAAUCAAUCGUUUUUUCAAACUUGCAAUAUCAAAUCUUGCAGUGUCACUCGUCUGAAUUUGAAUUUUUCUCUGAUCUUUCAGGCCCUUUAUCACUGCAACACUUUAAUUUUUUUGAUAUAUUUGUUAAAUCGGUUUAAGCAAACGCACUCUGUCCCGAAACCGUGUUUUGGCACGAAUGUUUUGAGGCAAUUUCUUCGUUUGCGACAUUAACGGAGUUUCCAUUUGUGGAGGUUUCGUUCCAGUAAACUCGCUCGUGAGAUCUGUAUUUAGUUGCUGAUCUUGAUUUUGGGCGAAUUUGUUGUUGGGCUACAAUUUUGAAUUGUCUCCUUCUUGAAUGUUUUUGAGACUGUUCGAUUUCGUUGAGACGCUUGAAUGUUGAUUUUGAAUGUAAAUUCAAUGGAUAAAAGCAAAUUCAAUGCAAUAGCAAAGUGUUCCUGAUCUAGGACAAAAGUAUUUUUGUCUUGAACAUAAUUUGUAACGGGAAACUAAAUAUGUUCCUAGAUGGCACCUUUUGAUGCGUACAGUUCACCAAAAAUCAUAUAAGCAAAAGGAAUGUGUUGAUUUGUGUUGAUUUUAAACCCCUUUCUCUUCUCAUAAUGCACUUCUUGGAACUUUUAAAGAAAAAAAUAAUAAUAUACUCAAUUUAUUUAACUAUCGUUUCAUUGAUGUAUUCCUUUCAUUGAGCUGGAGGUUGAAUCUUGGAUUUGCAUUAAAAAAUAAAAUAAAUAAAAAUAUUUGAUAGAAUCGUGAUUCUAAUUCGAUUGUAUAGAUACAUAGAAAAAAGAAUAUAUAAUAAUAGAAGUAGGAAUUAAUGAUGGAAACUAAUUAAAAAAUUAAUAGUAAUAUAAAGUAUUUUAUUUAGAAGAGAAUAUCUAUUAUAAUAUAUUAUAUCUCCAUUAUAUAUAUAUUUAUUUUGAAUUAGCCUAAUAGAGUAAUUCAAAUGCUAAGGAGAAGACGCGGGACGGUUUAAGAAUGAGUAAGAUUGAUAUUAGGUUUAUUUUUUUUUGAAACAAAACAAAAAAAUCUUAUCAAAAUAGGUAACGCUGCAUUUUGUUGAUGCUAUAUUGAAGUUGUUAAAACAAUAUGCAUAUUUUCAGAAGCAGGCCUCAUUCAAUUAUCCAAUGAAGGAUCUUUAAGCAUAUUUUGUCAAAACCUUCUCAAAAAUAUUAUUAGAAAUUAACAUUUUAAGCUGGAAUUCUAGUGAAAAGAGACGCUUUUUGUCCAAUUAAAAUAUGCAUAACGCACCAAGUUAAUAUGCUUAGGUUGAAUUAAAUCUAAAUCAUUAUUCAAAAGAAGUAAAUAGGAUAUGGAAGAUUAAUUGAUUCAUAAGUCUGAAACAAUCUGUCAAACGUACAGUUUUAGGUUUGGGAAGAUUGAGACUUGAAAUUGGUAUGGGAAAAUGGGAAUGAUUGAAGGUUUUAUCUUUUUAACAUAGGUAUUAUUUCAGGAGCAGUAUCGACUAAUGAGGCAUGGGGAUCAUAUUGGAAUUGGGAUCUAAAGGAAACUUAGGCUUUUAUUACUUAGAAUAUAUUCGCCAUUUAUUUCCAUACUAGAAAAAAAUCAAAAAUUGGAAGAUAUAAUUCUUCAAUAAUUGUCUCCAUGUGGUCUUGUGGCCUUAAUUGAAACUUAAAUAUUGGAGGAUGUGCCUGAGAUUUAAUGACCAAAUGUGAAAUUAGAUAUGGGAUUAUUGAGGCUUGAUACGAAAUGUAGCUUUGAGAUUUAUGUGUUCUUUUUGAAAUGCAACGUUUGGGUCUUGAUGAUACUAUCUCUGAUUGCAAUGUGAAUUAUUAAUUCUAAAUGUAAUAUCACAAUGUGAUGCUCGAACCUUGAAUGCAACUGAAAGAUGACAAUACCAGAGAGAUGAAUGCAACCGAAAGACGAGUGUUUUGAUAACUUUCGGAAAAUCAAGAUUAAGAACAAUAUUUGAGAUCUAUAUGGUGUCCUCAUUGUUGGGAGAAAGAGAGAACCAAGAAAAUGCAUAUACUGAAAAUGAGAUGAAUUGCAUUAUUGAAUUGAAUUACAUAGAAGCUAUUUAUACAGCUCAAGUUCAGCCUCAGUCACUGCCUUAUCACACUCAACUAACUAAACAAACUACCAAACUUACAUCUAAUAUUCUGAAUUACAACUAACACUCAUAUGAUAGAGGUGAUUUUGGAUUUAUCUUUUCAGCUUUCAGCCUUUUCACCCCAAAACUAGAAUGAAAUGGAGUCUAUUCACUUGCUGGAUAUGGCAGAUUUUGGAUUUUCCUAGAGGAAUAGUGAAAUUCAUUACUGAAAUAAGGUUUACACUUUACACAUAUGAAUCCCCUGAAAUGAGAUGAUGCGAUACUCUUCAUGACGAACAAAUGCUAGUAAUUUUGAACUUCGCAUUGAUGUCCCAAAGGAAAAUGCAUUGAAAUGAAAUUGAUUGAUAUUAAUAGUAUUAAUGCAGUGAGGAAGUUACUAUUAAGCUGGUAUGCAUGACCACGAAUGAAACAUGUAGGGAAGGUGGAGUCUAUGUUAUACAUAUAGUUGCCUUUCCUCUAGUUACGAUGGAACAUUUGUGUCUUCAUUUGAAUGUGGAUACUACAUGCUGAAAUGUUUAAAUCUUCUGGUAGAAUGAUCCUAUUUUAUCUCAUAAGGAAUUUAUCAUCUUAAUUACCAUAACUUUGUUGAUUAGUUGGGUUGACCGAGGCUUGUAGUCAUGAUCUAGAAUUGGUCUCAUGUUCAAGUUGUUCAUCAAAAUGACGACUAGUAAAUAUAGACCAAUUCUGAUAGAAAUAUCGUAAUAAAUUUGCAAGGCAAACAAAUUUUUUGGCAUGAUUAAAAUAAAAAAGUGGUUCUAUGUGUGGUUUCAUAUCAAGACACUUCAACAACAGAUCAAUGUGGAAAACCAGAAGACUUUCCUUACCUGGGUACUUGGCAGUCAGUCAGCUCUUCAAGCCAUGUUUGGCUUACAUCAUGUAAUUUUCCUUUAUUCCAAGGUCGCCUUGUGAUGCCAUUGAUAAAAAAAAAUGUUCCAAUUUCUUCAAGCCAUACGCACCCUCCAACUUGGCCCAAAGGAAGCUGUGGAGGUCUUGGUUUAAAGCAAGCUUGAGAAAUGUGUGGAAAAUGCAAAUAUGCAAUCUAGACCUACCAAUCUUUGAGUCUGGUGAUAAAAGCAAAAUAUAAAUGUGUAACCAACAAAAAGCUUCCCAUUGCCAAAUACCGGCGCUUGAAUUCAACGCAGUAUUUGCAACAUCUGGGAGAGGGUGGAAUCUAAUUUAUUUUGGAGGAUUGGUAGUGGUGAGAAAACUUGAUUUUGGACCGAUUCAUGGUUGCCAAAUAUUGUUUAUGAGCCAUAAUCAGAUUCAGAGUUGCAAUAGCAAUACAAGCCAUGGUGCCUCCCUCUCCAAAUUUUGAUGAUAUCUUGGCUUAGAAAUGGUCAAAUGAUGGUACUCUGACUGUAGCUUCAGCUUACAGUUAGGGACAUGCUAGGUGCACCAAGCAAUAUUGUUGGUUUACCUAGCAAUUAGGUGAAUGGACAAAAUUGCCCUUGCGUUAAAAAAAAUAAUUUCUUCUUCCGAAAAAAGGUUCUUCCGGAAAGUUUCCAGAAGAACCUUCUUCCGAAAGAACAAUUUGUGUUCUACCGGAAGAACCUUUUUUCGGAAGCUUUCCGGAAGAACCUUCUUCCGGAAGAAGGUUUUUCCGGAAAGUUUCCAGAAGAAGGUUCUUCCGGUAGAACAAUUUAUUCUUCCGGAUGAACAAUUUGUUCUACCAGAAGAACCUUCUUCCGAAAACUUUCCGGAAGAAGGUUUUCCGGAUGAACAAUUUGUUCUACCGAAAGAGCCUUCUUCCGGUAGCUUCUCUGGAAGAAGGUUCUUCCGGUAGNNNNNNNNNNNNNNNNNNNNNNNNNNNNNNNNNNNNNNNNNNNNNNNNNNNNNNNNNNNNNNNNNNNNNNNNNNNNNNNNNNNNNNNNNNNNNNNNNNNNUUCUGGAAGAUGGCUCAUCCGCCCUACACCCGAUAAUACUUGUGCUUUACGGGUACAGGAAUUACUCGUCCGGAGCAAAAAUUACCAUCCAGAAGAACCUUCUUCCGGAGAAGUUACCGGAAGAACUUCUUCUGAUAACUUCUCCAAAAGAAGGUUCUUCUGAUAGAAUAAAUUGUUCUACCGGAAGAACCUUCUUCCGAAAGAAGAAAUUAUUUUUUUAAUACAAGGACAAUUUUGUCCAUUCACCUAAUUGCUGGGUGCACCUAGCAUGUCCCUUACAGUUAUUAUGAAAAUCAAUCAAGCUAACAAGGCAGGGGUAGUAUUUUUUUUUUCCCCUCAAUGUGUUACUUUUGCUAUGGAAAAUGGUGAGAAAUGUGCAUUCCUAUUAAGCAAUUUGCUUCUAGCGCCACUUAACCACUAAUGAGAUCUGUCCUCUUUGCAAUAGUCAUAUUUGAAAGUGUGAUCCAUUCCAUCAGGGAUAGUGUCUUCGCUCAACAAGUAUGGAGUUCCACUUUUACUUUCACUGAUGCUGUUUAACAGAGGUUACAGAAAGUUAGUUAGGAAUGGUUAAUCCAAUUAGCUUUAUAAAUAAGAUCCCUCAUUGUAUAAUUCUCAUCUUAUCAAUUUUCAUUUUUCAAUAUGAUUCCUUUUGACUUUUGAGUAUUCUCAAUCUUGAUUAUGUACAAGUUCUUUUUUGACAUCCUAAAGGACCAAUGGCUGCUGUCUUUGGCUUAGGAUUGCCCUAUAUAAGGCAGCAAUGCAUUAGUGGCCAUCUGCAUAAGACAAGUCUUAUUGUUUAGUCAACAAGGAGGAUCUAUUAUUUUUACUAAUACUCUUAGAGAAGCUAAUCUAACUGCUGAUGCUUUGGCAAAAUUGGUCUUACUAUGCAGGGCAAAUUUAGAUUGUUGUUGUUCCAUAUUUAAUUCAUUUUUCUUUGUUAGCUGACAAUGCUGGUGUAAUGCUCCCCCAUGGGUUCUAGUUUAGGCUUUAGCCACUCCCACUCACCAAAAAAAAAUGUGUAUCUAAUUUUACUUUUUUGAGACUCCUAAAUAACAAAUAUAGAAUGCAACACCAUCCCACCCCACAUCAAAUGGCUGCACCUAUUAUCUGGCUAAUGAGAUCCAAUGGUGGAGAUUGGCCCAAGAUCCUGUGGCUAGAUUUAGAAAGUUAAUAGAAAGAAAUGAUUGGUAGAAUGAUAGACUGUCUCAGAUUACAAUCAGUAUGAGACAAAGGAAACAACAUGGAUCAUUCCCUGAAAAUCCUUGGUUAAAAAUGAAUAUUGUACCUUCUACAUCAAGUUGCUUGACAAAUUCUAUUGCCAUUUAAGUAACUUCCUAUGUUUAUUGAUAAUUGGAAUGAUAAAAGUAACCAUUCUUAAUUAUCCAUCCUGCCAAGAAGCUGAUGAGACUUUGGAACAUGUCCUUUUUACGUGCAGAUUUGCAACAACAAUCUGGAACCGGUGUUAUAAGUGGCUUGGAUUCUUGCUGCACAACAUAAAGAGGCUACACUGCAUUUCUUUCAACAUGAUUGUAAUUGGUCACGAAGGGAUUAGAAAAGUAUCUGGAAAACAGUUUCGGGAGCAGUAACAUGGUCUUUGUGGUGUCAGAUAUAAAUUAUAAAUAAAAAUCAUAGGUUUAUUAACAUAAAUUAUUAAUGUAUUUUUUGAUUUUAUUAUAAUUAAUUUUGAUAUAAUAAUAUAUUUUUUUACAUAUAUAAAUUUUAAAUAAAAAUCAUAGGUUUCAUAAAAAUUCAUAUAUGUAAACAUAUUAAUUAUUAUAUCAAAAUUAAUUAUCACAAAAUUUAUUAUCUAAAUUUAUAUGUGCAUUAAAUAUACAUUAGAAAUUUUAGUGUUAUAUAUAACGCUAUUAAUUAUUUUAUAAUACAAUUGACAUGUUAACUUAGUUGAUUAGAACAUUGUGUUAAUUAACAUUAAUUCUUGUUUAAGUCAUUAAUUUUAAAUUAAUUCGUAAAACAUAUUUUAAAAAAAAAUUAAAAAAAUCAUAUGGAUCACUUAGGAAGUGGACAAUCCGUAAUCCGUAAGCUUCAUACAGAUUAAACUCGUCAUUGUCACUUCCUCUAUCAUUUUUUGGUUUGCAUCAAUUACAAAAUAGGAUAACACAAUUAUGUUAUGUAGAGCAUCAAAUAUUAUAUAUGAUUAAAGUUUAGUGUGCUCUUAUUCUAUUAUAUUUUUGUAUCUACUCUUAUAUUUUAUUAUAUCAUGAACAUCAAACAAGCCUCUAAUGUGAUAUAUGUAUAUGUUCUUUGGGUUCAAAUAUAUUCAGUUUAAUUAUAUGUGUAUUUAUUAAUCAAUUUAAAUUACUUUUUUUAAUUCUCAACCACUAAUUGAAUCAUUCGAUAAGAAUCAUAUUCAUAUCUUAUAAAGAUAUUGGUUUGAAUUUUAUUAUUGAUAUAAUGAUUUUAUUGGUAGACAAUUCGUAAGUAUCUUUAUAAACAUUCGUUUAAGUCUUAAAAUAUGUUUUUAGUUAAAAUUCAACUCACCUAAUAAAUUUUUAGAGAAGAAAAAAAAACUCAACAAAACGUGGUUGUGUGAUGUCUGCUGCUUUUCAUUUUCAAAGGGCAAAUUAUAAUGAUCUAGGUGCAAAACUGCCAACAACCUCGGACCUCAUCGAUUACAUGUACAGCUCCUAAAUUCUAAUUGAACCCAAGAACACUCGACGGGCAGUUAUUUAAAGAGUAAAUUACUUCGCUGUCGUAUGGAAUGACGUUAAGUCCAUUAAAACAUAUAAAAAAUUAAUCACUUGUACCCUAUUCCCAAAAGAUAUAUUAUUUUCACUUUCCUCUACUUUUGCUUUAUUUAUUUAUUUUCUAUUACAGUUUUUCUUUCAAUCUUUUAUUUUCAGAGGUUGAGUUAUAAUCAAUCCAUCUUAAUUAGUGGACAAAGUGCAAUAACAUAACCGUCACACUACAAACUCUAAUCAUUUAUUAAACCACGUUAGUAUAAGCUCAUUGGUGAUUCAUUUGGGUGGUGGGAUUGUUCGUUUAUAAUUCUUUAUCAUUGUUACCAACACUCAUCAACUGACUUGUAUCUUGGCUCUUUUCAAGGGCUAAUUCUUAAUUCUUAUUCAUUUUUUACUAUUUCCAACAGUCCCAACAAAAGGCCUUCUGAGCAUCGAUGAGUAACAGUACUUGCAAGCCAAUGAAAUCAAAGAUUCUUGGGUUGAACUUCUUUUAAAUUUUGCAAAAUAACAAUUGGAUUGAGAAUAGCAGCAUCAGACCCCACUAACAUAGUCACCGGGUUGGCAUUAUCUUGCUAAGUAUUUAUUUAAUUUGUGGGAUUAUACAUAGAUGAUUGUUUUUUUCAUCACGUACAGUUGAUAUAAACUAUUUAUUAGCUUUCGUUGAAUUAAUCUUUAUUAGAAAAUGUAAAUGAUCAUUUUUAAUAAUAAGAAUUUUUUAAUUAUAUUUUUUCAUCCAUAUAAUUUGAACUCAAAACCUUAAUUAAAAUAUUAGUUCUACAACAUACUAACCACAAGUUGAGGGAUUUAUAGAUGAUUAAUAUAACAUAGUUUAAGUUAUUUAUAAAAUACUAACAAAAAUUGUUCUAAUUAGUAGAAAAUAUGAAUUCAAUUCUGUUAAUAAUGUGAAAAAUCUUGUUAAUUAAUAAUACAUAACUAUUUUUGUAAAUAUUCUUUGAGAAGAAAAAAAACCCUCUUCUUAAACAUUUAACAUCCACCAAUUAAACUAAAUCAAUUUCAUGUUAAUUAUCCUGUGUUCUUUAUCUUAAAAUUAUCUCCCUUUGGUUCUUGAGAGCAUACAUUUUCACAUGUGGCAUGUCACAUAUUAAACAAUUAACAAGACACACAGGUCACACAACUUUAACAUGUGCCAAGCAGAGUGUGCGUAACACAUGUAAGUAUUUGUCUAUAUAUAUGCAGCGGGAUUCGAUCUGGUCCUGGAUUCUGAGUGUAUAUUAAUUAUAGUCGAAACCAGUUUCUGGGGCAUCUCAUCAAAAAAUCAAUGGAAGAUAGCAUUGGAGGCAGUUCCUCAAACGACAACAACAUCAUCAAGGAACAGGACCGAUUGCUGCCAAUAGCCAAUGUUGGUCGGCUCAUGAAGCAGAUUCUUCCUCAGAACGCGAAAAUCUCGAAGGAGGCGAAAGAAACGAUGCAGGAAUGUGUGUCGGAGUUCAUAAGCUUCGUGACCAGCGAGGCUUCGGAGAAGUGCAGGAAGGAGAGAAGGAAGACAGUGAAUGGUGAUGACAUUUGUUGGGCCUUGGCAACACUAGGCUUUGAUGACUAUGCUGAACCAAUGAGAAGGUACUUGCAUAGAUAUAGAGAGGUUGAGGUAGACCAUAAUAAUAAGGUCAAUCUUCAAGAAAGAGAGAAUAAUAGUCCUGAAGAGAAGGACGAUGAAGUAUUUCAAUUGAGUAAUAGAGGGGUUAGGUUUUGAUGACCAAUUAUUAUGCUUAGUGUGAAGUAGUAAUUAAUUAAGGCUUGUUUAAGGUUUGACAUUACUUUUCUUGUAAUACUUUUCUUGUCUUAAUUGGAAUUGAUUGAGCCUGCCUAGAACAAGAUUUCUUGUUUUGCUUCUUUUCUUCUUCUUCUUCUUCUUUAUACUUAUAUACUGCAGGUCUUUGCAUGUGCUUUGGCUAAUCUAUUGAUGAUUUGGGAAUCAAAAUAUAUAUAUAUAUAUAUAUAUAUAUAUAUAUAUAUAUAUAUAUAUAUAUAUACUAAUUGAUGAUAAACUCAUCUAGCAUGUACUUUCAUAAGAGUGCCCUUGAUUCAAGAAUAGGAAUAUUCAUCUUUCGAAGCCAGAAAUCAAAACACCAGUUUGAUCUGAGUUUCAUACCUGGAUCUUGCUAAACUUUCAUUUUUGAAGAUGAUCGAGUUCCCAAGAUUAAUUAAUUUCCAUGAAAUUUCCAACAUUUAUGUACAAUAUAACAUUAAGAUUUGUGUUCAAGUUUGAGUUAAUUUGAUCUCUGGUUAAUUGUUUUGUUCUAAUCUUGUUUGAAGUCAGCAUUGCCGUCGCUAAACACACUUGCACACAAAGUUACUUUUUAAGGUUUCUUCACAUAGUGAAUAUAUUGGUAUAUUCACUGGUUCUUUAAGUUACUUUUUUUAGACUAAUGUUUAGGGUUUCAUUAGCUUGUAAUUUUUAAGAGUUGGGACCACGUACAAAUUCUACCCCACUUAAUUAAUAUUUUAUUUAUUAUGUCAUGUCUUAACAUAUAACUGAAAACCACCCUCCUUCACCUUCCCCUCUUAAAAGAAACAAAAAGAAGAAUACGAUGGAGUUUAACGUUUUUGGUGUUUAGAUAUAUUGUACCAUGUCAUAUAUAUUUUUAAACGUGGUGGAGGGGUAACAACCUCCACCUACAAAAAGAACUAAACUAAAAAAAUGGUUUGUACUUCUUGUUGUUUUCUUCUUUCUAUUAAAAUGUUGCAUUGAAUCUACAGGAAAUCAAGGACGAAAAUCCAGGAAGCAUCAACCAACCAAAAUGAUUUGUGUUGAAAAAUGGCAACCUAUGAAGAGCAUAAAAUAUUAUUUUUUUUGAAUGAAGGACUAAUAGCUGUCCAAUUAGGUCGUGAAAGCAUGAAUAUGUACUGUACUUGCUCUUUCCUUAAUAGUAACCGUUACUCAAUAUGGUUAUAUAACAAGAAUCAAGGUACUCUUUUCCAUGGCCAACGACUACUCACCAAGUGUCUAGCACUCAAUUGGUUGCCUUAGAAAGUAUACAACAUAAUAUUAAAAACUAAUGUGUGACAAUGCGCCUAGGUAAAAACUAAUAAGUACUAAUUGAGAUAUUGCAUUCCAAUCAAGACCACGAACUCCACGACCAAGUAACCUUUUGUGAGUCUUAUAGUGCAUUUUAAUUAAAAGCUAAAAAAAGUAGAAAGUACAUUAACGGUGUGUUUGAUGGAAGAAAAAGGAAAUAGAAGUGAAAAUAGGUAAGUGAAGAAAGAAAAUAAAAGAAAUAUAUAAGAAUUCAAAUGAAAAUAUUGAUUGUUCGGUUUAUUAAGAGAAAUAAAAGAAAAAUGAAGUGAAAAAAAAAAGAGAAAAUAAAAAAUAGUGCUUCUCAACCCAUUAUUUCAUCGUUUUCACACAUAAAAUGUACAUUAUUUGAUCGUUUUUACAUAUAAAAUGUAUCAUAAUCGAUUAUCACUUCAUCACACACCCUCCAGUCACAGAACAACACUUCUAAGACCGCACUCACCCAUUUCUUAUCUAUUUUUGCUUCUUUUUGCCAAAAUGUUUUUAUGUAGGAUCUAUCACUUUUUAUUUCUCCUCAUCGUUUCAUCGCUACCAAACAAUGAAACUUUCUAAUUUUCUAGCCUAUUGAUUUGCCCUCUCUCCCUACAAUUUCCAAGCAACCAAAUUCAUCGUAAAUUUAAUUUGUUCUGGAGAUUCUCUGAUGUUUAUGAUAAAUCGAGAAAUGUCAAUAAGAGAUUAAUGGUCUUCCCUAGUCUCACAAAAAGACGCACCUUCCUCUAAUCUAAUUUUUUUCUCUAAAAAAAUGGUAAAUCGGUACAAUAUUAAAAUAUUUAUAUACAUACCAUGGAAAGCCGCUUGGAUUUUUUUUCUUGAAUUUGGAUUGUUUUUUUUUUUUCAUCCUUCUUGAUCUAUGUAUAUUGGGAACUAAUCGAACAGGUAAAAAAAUGGUGCAAUAUUUAAUGAAAAAUUAAUUUAAAUACAUUGACAAUCUAAAUAUUUUUUACAUGGUCAUCCACUCUCAUAUUAUUAUAUACGGUGAUUUUAUUAAUUGUUAUAAUAAUUAUAUAUCUUAAAAGUCAUCUAACAAUUAUUUCUAUUUAUUGAUAAUGUAAUUUUUUUAUAAUUAAACUCUUUAAUAAAUUAAUUAGACUCUCCAAAAUGUUCUUUUAAUUAGUUGCCUCACUUAUUUCAAUUGCAAAUUUAUAUAGUUGUAGUCUAACUCUAACAUGUUGAGAAUGAUCAUAGUACUAAUACUAUCACUUUUUUUAAAUAAAAAAGUACUAAUACUAUCACUUAUUUAUUUAGAAUAAUAUAUAUAAGCCAUGCCAACCUUUGAGAAGUCACGGGCAAAUAUAAUAACAAACAAUAUGUGUACGUGUAAAUCAAGUAAAGUUCAUUUAUUUGCCCGCCUGCCACUCAUAAUUUGUAAACAAUUGCAUGCAAGGUUAUUUUUAGAGUAGUGUGGUUAAUUGCAACUUUCUAAAUUCUUAUGAUCAAUUCUUUGAUGCCGUCGCAUUCUCAAACAUUUAGCAUUCUACAGCCCCAUUAAUAUGUUCAGUAGUGGCACAUUUAUUAAUCACCACCCACACAUUACCAACUCGUUAGUAUUUGACAGCCUAUAUAUAAUAAAUUCAUGAGCACAUAACAUGCUAAUGAUACAAAUUAACAUCGUGAUCUUUUCACAGGAGACUGCAGGUUUUGGAGGAAGGAGAGAAGAUCGAAUAAAUAAGAUAUGCAUAAUCAAAUUAUAUAUGCAUGAGCUAUCAACUCAUUUUCCCACACGCAUCAUAAUUUAUAUCUCCACUAAUUUUGUUAGUAGAUUUUUUAUAAUAACAAGUGGCAAUAAGAGAGUUAAUUGGAGAGAAAUUCAUGUAUAUAAACGUUUAAUUAGUACUAAUAUAUAUCUCGCAAUCAAUUUCAUAUAUAUAAAUAUAUAAUUUUUUUUAUAUUUUUUAUAAACUUAAACGUUGUGUUAAUUAUAUGUAUUUUUUAAGAAUGUAAAUAUUAAUUUGUGUUGCUUUUUUCUUAAGAUGAAUGUAUAAUAUAUGUGGUGAUCAUGCAAACAAAUUAAUGUACCAAUCAACCCUGUUGAAUGAGGUUGUUAUAGGUUGAGGUAGCAGGAUUAUUAAAGAGAGUAGCAACCGCCGGCACUGUAGGCCACCACAAAAAUUCCAGCUAUAACGGCAACUCUCAAUGUCCUAAAGCAAACUCAAACCCCCAACUACCCUUGCACUAAACACGCAUACACACCUAAAGUUAGAAGCACCAACAUUUUAAAUUGAUAUGGCCAUAAUUAUAGUAACAAAAACUUUGAUGUUAUGACCAUAGUUAUAAUUCUAGAUCGUUAAAACUAUGAAAACUAUACUCAUCUCAUGAGAUUAGCUAGAUUGGUGGCUUGGCAUGAAUUAACGUUUGGUGAGAUGAGAUAGUAGGGGACACGCGUGGCAGAGUUUGGGGUGUUUUGAUGAGAAUUAUAGGUCAGGUGGCUCUUCGCUGCUUACUGGUGGUUUCAUGCUUUCAUCUGCUUGGAAGGUUUGUGUCACGUGCUAGUUAGAUGUUUAUUCUUUAUUAUAUAAUAAAUUCAACAGAUAAAAUGUUUUUUUUAUAACUCGAGAUAAAAGGUCAUGUUUCAAAUUUUAUAUUAUCAUCCAAUUAUAUAUUAAUAUAUAUAAUAAAUUUAUUAAUUUUUAUAAUAAUUAUCUUUACUAAUCAUACCUACAAUUAUUUAUAAUUGGUAGAAUAUCUUCAAUUACAUUCUAUGGACUCUAAGGUUGGCUAAGUACCGUAAGGUGAAGGGAGAAAAGAGAGGGAAGGAGUAGUGGAUUGAAUUUUCCAACUUAUAUUCUAAUUAACAAAGUUAACAAACUAAUAUUUACGAUAAAAACAAAAAACAAAACUAGACACUGCCAUUAUAACGGCGAGGAUCAAAAUGCGCACUUCUGUAAACUUGAUGGACCCAAAUUAAACCAUUUAAAAACUUAAAGUACCAAAAUAUAACCAUUUGAAAACACAUGAACUAAAAUAUAACCAUUUAAAAGGAUAUCAUUUCAAUUAACAUGUUACAUCCAAUGAUAUCAUACUCGGAUCAGUUAUCAACUCGAUCGAGAUAUUGGGUCAAGGAUCGACCCAAUGAAUCAUCAAUUGACUUGCAUGACCCAGUCUACAUUAACAAAAAAUCUAAAUAAUUUAAUAACAUAUAAACUUGUACAAAUAAAAUUUAACAUAUUUAGAACCAUAGUUAUAAACUUGUUUAAAAUUUUGAGCAUCCAACAUAUUUUUUUAGAAUUCAGUAUAUAAACAACCUUAAGUUAGAAUUUAAAAAUAUAUAUUAUUAUUCUACAAUGACAAACAUAAUCUAAUACGCACACACAAAUUAGUCAAAGGAAAAUUGAAAAUAAUUACAAUUUUAUCAUCUCAAAUUUCAAGAUGUAGUUAUGGUUGACAAAAAAUAUAAGCAAAAUCUAUGAACAAUACAAGUGUAAAGUAUAAAUUUAUUUUUCUAAUAUGAGUGAAGUUGUUCAAUUGUAAAAAUAAAUUAAAAAAAUGCAUGACCCGCAUAGUCAACCGGUUUGAGGUCGGAUCACACCAAGCCAUAUGCACAACGGGUUCAACAAGUGGCUCGAACUAAUUGGGUGUCUGAUUCUUAGGCCAAUGGGUUGACUUAGUUGGUCCAAGCCAAAUUUAAUAACUAUGUUUAUAUCAUCAUCCAAAUCAACAUUGGCAAACAUAUCACACUUAUUUAACGUUUUGCCUAAAAUGAACCAAAAUAAAAUUCUUCAAAAACAUAAAAGAUCAAAAUAAACCUUAAGUUAAAAUGAAAAAUAUUAAAACAUAAAUGACCCAAACUCACAUUUAGCUAAACGACCUUUUAAGUCAUGUUUAUGAUAUUAUCUAAUUAGUUUAAAAUAUAAAAGCAUUUACACUAAUGUAUUCAGAUUAAAAUCUUAGAAUAAUCACCAAAUGCAUUUCUGUUUAUUUUUAGAAAGAAAAAUAUAAGUAGCAUACUCUUUAUAACAAAGGCAUUUUUGUAGUACUAUGUGAAAUUCGUGUGGAAUCUAUCAAAUGAUGUGAGCCAUAUUUUUUAUUUAUUGAAUGUUAUUUUUAUUUAAAUUUAACAUAUUUUAAUUGAUAUUAAAAACUAAAAUGUAUGUUAUUAACCUUUAUGUAUGUUUCUGGAAAUACUAGUCUUUCUAGUAAUGUAGGACCAAUCUCAGGCUCAAAUGGAUAUCAAUCCAGUUGGAUCUAAAAGGAUGGCAGGGCAUUCUGAAAGUACUUGUUGUUUACAGCCCCUAUUUUUACGAAGUACAUCCCUCCUUUCUCUUUAUAUUUUUAACUAUCAAUUAUACCUUUUUUAUUUGUUAAAACAUAGUUCCAAAAUUAAUUUUUGGAACAAUAUAUAUUAAUUUAGGAAAAUAAUUUCUAGAUUUACUUUCCAGAACUGAUAUAUGUUGUUCGUAAAGUGAUUUUUGGUAGUCAAUAAACAAAAUAUGAAAUAUCAAAAGUACCUUUCCUUCAUAAGCUACAAUAGUUGUUAAUCUAUAAUUGCUGAACAAAUACUUAUUUCAAUUUUAAUUUAGAGACAAAUAACCCAUAUAUGAAAUUUCCAAUGGACAAAACAUUCAGACACACUUAGGAUGUGUCAGCUUUGUUAUUGAUAAAUUUUAGUUUUUUAUUAGCCGAGAGAAUUAAACCCACGACUUUUCCAGUAUUAUGUGAACAAGGUUUAAAGAAUAAAAAAUAAGAAUGAAGAUUGAGGUUUAAAACUAGAGUUUAAACAAUAACAAAUGUAGGAUGAAAAAAAAAUAGAUUUAAAAAAUAACAAACUUGGGACUCAUAAGUUGUUCUAGAAAGUAGUUCAUGGAAUUAUGCAUUUUGUUAAAACAUAGUUCCAGAAAUUACAUUCCAAAAUUGAUAUAUUUUGUUCAAAAAAUUAAUUUUCAAAAUCUAUGUUUUAAGAAUUAAGAGAGUAUAAUAGGCAAUAAAAAUAUAAAGAGAAUGGAGGGUGUACUUAGCAUGUAUGGGUGUAAAUAGCAAGCAACUUACAUGAAUAACAGCCACUGAAAAUUAAAGCUCUGAGUUCGGCCAACUGGAGAGAAAAAAAAAUCAUUUUGAGUUUUCAUUUUUGGUAAAAUCCAAAAAUAACUGAAUUACCUUUCGGUCAAGGAAAAACAAGUAAUUAUUUUCACAAACCAACUUAAAAGGGAUGAAGGCAUACAGUUGAUUACGUUGGGACUUUCUUUAAUAAAUCUAAUUACCAAUUUACUAUAAUAAGUUUUGAAACCAUUUAGUCAUUUACCUUUCUUUCUUUUUUUUUUUUUUACAGAGAAAGAUCUUAUUUCAUUUCAUUCAAAGUAGGACAGAUGAUACAAUUUGGAAUAUGAUCGAACACAUGGGUGCAAGCAUAUAUAAGACAAGGAUGUUCUUGCUAACGAAUGAGCAACAUUAUUUACUUGUUUCCUUACAAAAUUCACCAACGAGUUUGGAAUAAGUUAGAACAAAGAUUUACACUUUGAGAUAAUGAUGUUGAAAUCCGUUGUGCUAUUCAAAGUGCCUGAAAGUCCAUCAACAACGAGUUUGCAAUCUGAUUCCACCACUAUAUUUUGAAAGCCAAGAUGUUUAUAGUUGUUGCUCUCUUUAUAAAGUGUGCUGAAUAGAGAAACUCCAGUCCUUGGCCUUCAAGUUUCUGAUGUAAUUUAUUAAAGUAGCAUGAUGUAACGAAUUGACUCAGAAGAGAUCAUCUGCAUUACAAGCAUAGAGUCAAAUUCACAAAUUAAACCAUUUAAAUUUGAUUAGUAAAGUGAUUCAAAGUCAACAAAUCCAAAAGGGCUUUGAUUUUACUCCUAAUCAAGCAUAAUGGCCAGACUUCAACUUCACCUCGAUUAAUCUCAGCAUUCCUCAGCUCGAGUUCCAAAUAAACCAACAAGUAUACAGCGGCAAAUCCCUGGUUAUGUGCACUUUUAUAUUGUCAAUGAGGCCAUGAGUCACUUUUUUUUUUUAUCGAUAAAUAUUAAUUGUUAGUUUUUAUAUGAACAUAUCUAAACUCACACAUCUAUCAUCUUUUCUUCUGACUUUCACUCAUACACCAAUCUUAUAUCUCCAAUGAGCCGCUCUUUGAUAUCCUGAGAAAAGAAAUCAUUUUGCAAAUUAUCAAACAAUACUAACCAGACCCUUCUAGCUUUGAUAUAAUCUCGAAGGGCAUACAGCGGAGACUCUUCAGCAAUACCACAUCUAUGAGGCUGUGACAACAACAAAAUCCAAAGAAAUGUGACGGUUAAAACGAAGGUUAUAUUGGUUUGCACCAAUAAUUACCUAAGGAAGUGUUUAAUAUUCUCUAUGGGAUUUGUAAUUUCUAGACAUGGGACCAAGGUUCAUGACAAGCAAGUUGGGUGGUAAGCUAUUAAAAAUCGUAAGAGUUAUGUAAGUUAUGACAAUAUAAAACAACUCAUCAUCUACUUUUGUUUUGAUAUAAAAGUUCAGAAGACAUGUGCUACAAAAUAUAAACAACUGAAUUAUAAGGAGAGACAUUAAGUUAUGUGAAUUCUCGAAAUAUAAUUACUCAAGUUUAUUACAGAAAUCAUUAAACAAAAGCUUAUUACAAAAAGAAUGAAUAUAAUAUAACUUAUUCAAAUUAUGUCAUUUCUCUUCCCUUAAUGAAGUACGUAAAAUCACUUUAAAAAAAUGAAGUAUGUAAAACCAAUAUUUGAAGCAUUUUAUUCAAAAUUAUUAUGCUACGAUAAAGUCAUUUUAUAUAACAAAUUAAUUCAAGUAUUAUAGCUAGAGAAUUAUUCAAAAGACAAAACAUUUAUAAUAUAGCAUUUUGAUCCAUUCAAUUAGCGAGAACAAGGGAUUAAGAUUUAUUAUUAUAUUAUUAAGUAUUUGUUGAUUUUGUCUAUGGUUAAUAUUUAUUAAUAAACAUGUCUAAUCACUUUUAAUGAGUUUUUUUAGUUACAUUCACAAAGUUAGAAUAUGAAAUUUUGUUUAAAAAAUUUAAACUAAGUUCUACUUAAACCAACACAAUGUUGGUAAGUCAAGCAGUUAAUAUUUAAAACUAUUUAAUUUAUAAAUCAAUUCAACAAAAAAAAAAAGAAAAAUCAAGUAUAAAAACUAAAUAUAUUGGAAAACAUCGAUAUUAGAUUAAAUUGAUUUUUAGUUUUAAUUUUAAAAAUCAUUUCAGUCCAAACUAAACAAAAUUUAUGCAUGUUUAUUGUAAAACUACAUAUAUACUUAUGAGUGACUUACCAACAUUGUGUUGGUUUAAAAUAAUCCUAGCAGGUGAUAAAAAAAUCUACCCAAUAUCGACUUAAAAAAUUCUAGUAGGUAUUGACAAAAAUUAGUGGAGAUAUAUUCCCGACAUUGACCAUGACUAUUUUUAGCCAACGCCGGCUUAAAAAAUCCUAGCAGGCGUUAACAAAAAAAUCUACCCAAUAUCAUCUAAAAAAUAGCUUGGUUGAUGUCGACUAAUAGAACCUAUCCGAUGUCGGCUGAAAAACAUCAUUAGUUAACAUUGCCUGAAAAAUCCCUAGUCAAAGUUGGCUAAAAAAUAACUCUGACCAAUGUCGGACAAAAAACUCUAUCCAACAUCGGCUAUAAAAUAGUCUUGGCCGAUGUUGGCUAAAAAAUAACUCUGACCGAUGUCGACCGAAAAAACUCUAGUGGAUGUCGACUGUAAGAACCUAGUCGAUGUCGACUAAAAAUAGUCAUGCCUGAUGUUGGUCAAAAAUACCUAACUGGUGUUAGUAGAAAAAACCCUAGCCAACAUCAACCAAAAAACCUAGCUAAUGUGGUUAAGAAAUAGCUCUGGUAGAUGUCAACCGAAAAACCCUAGUCAAUGUCAGCAAAAAAAUCCUAAUCGGCGUCAGCUAAGAAAAUCUAGUUGACAUCAGCCAAAACACCCUAGCUAACAUCGACUAAAAAAUAACCCUAGCCGAUAUUGGCUAUAAAAUAACUUUGGUUGAUGUUGGCUGGAAAAACCUAGUUGACGUCAGCUGAAAAACCCUAAUAGGUGUAUACUCAAAAGUUAGUCAUGCUUGAUGUCAGUAGAAAAAAAAAUCAUUGGUCAACAUCAACUGAAAAAAUCUGGAUGACAACGACAAAAAAAAUCCUUGAUCGACGCUAGCAAAAAUUUUCCAUGACUAACGUGAGUGAGAAAAUAACCCUAACUAACAUCAUCUAAAAAAAAUCUUAGCUGAUAUCGGGAAAAAAUAGCUUUGGUUGACAUCAUACAAAAAAAUUCUGACCGAAAAAACCUUGGCCAACGUUAGUGAAAAAUAACUUAUGUCGAUAUCGGUCGUAAAAACUUUGGUCACUUGUAAUUGUGAGUGUUGAACGAGAAAGAUUCGCAAGUAAGAACGUGAGUUAGAGUGAACAUCUCCAAAAAAAGAAUUUCAAAUUCUAUAUUUUUUUAGAGAAUUUAAAAUUUCAUUAUUUUAGUCAAUCAAAAUUAUUCAUAAAAAUACCAAAAAUUAAAUCUCCUUUCAAAUACUCUAUCUAAACAAGCUAUUUUAUCAUAAAUCAUUUUAAAUUCCUUAAAAAAAUGAAUUCUCCUAUUUAAUUGUUCCAUCCAAACACACUAUAAAUGAAAAUGGAACUAAGCACUGACACCUUGCUACAUACAAACAUAGAAGCAAGGGGUGGAUUAAAUCCUAAGUGAUCCAUUGUCUAAUGGGAUGAAACCAAGAACUAACUUAGGGUGUGUUUGGUUUGCAUUUUCAUUUUCUGAAAACUAUUUUCAUUUUCAAAAUAUUAGAAUUCUGAAGACAUGUAUGGUUUGACUUCUUAUUUUCUGCUUUCAAGAAAUAAAAACACUGAAAAGUGUUUUCGAAAUGAAAUGUAUUUUUAGAUUAACGUUUUCAUUUUACCCAAAAUGAGGUUUCUGGUUUCAACUGAAAACGAGAUUUUAUUAUUUUCAGUUUUUGGUUCAUUUAAGAAAAUAUUUUCACUGAAAAUGAAAACAGAAAUCUAACCAAACGUAUUUUCAUCAUCAUUUUCUAUUUUCAGUGAAAAUGAAAACAAAAAACAGCCAAACCAAGUACCCCCUUAACUUCUCCAUGGAAUCAGUCUUGUGUAUCUUUAAGCAUUUUUUAUGAGUGUAGUCGAGAAAACAUUUCAUUUUUUUAUUUUAAUUAGAAGAAACAAAUAUAAUAAUAAUCAAUGUUCAUUUUUAACAAUUAAUGGUUUUGAUUUUAUCAGAAAGCCAAAAAUCACUAUUUUUUUAAAAAUUAAAUAUUUCAAUUUUAAAAUAAAAAAUUAAAAUUACAAAUUAACAAAAAUAAAAAAACUAAAAUUCUAUUUUAGCCUAAUAAAAACUCAACAAAUCGGACAACCCUUAAAACUUUUCCAUCAUAAGAAACAUAUUUAACUUUCCCACACUUCAACAAGUCAGAAGAGGGGAUAUAUGGCUAUUACAACUCAUUACGUUGAUGGUUGUUGGAACUUACAAAGUCAAAUUUUGAGGUAAUUAAUAAAAUGAUUUGAACUUUUUAUAUUAUUAGGCCUUUUAUUUUAUAAAAUGAUUGAAUAUGAUUAUAUUAUAUCUCUUUUUUUGGUUGUUUUUAUAUUAUAUCUCUAUUUUUAUGUUAGGUUCAUCUAUGUUCCUGCUCCUCAUACAAGUGAUAGACUUUGCAAUGUAUUGACUGACUGUUUGAUGGAUUGGAAUAUUGACACAAAACUGUCCACUAUCAUCCUAGAUAAUUGUAUCACAAAUGAUGCUAUGAUUGAUAAAAUUAAGGAUAAAUUACACUUAGGUAGUUUGCUUAGGGAUGGAUCUUUACUUCACAUGCGUUGUUGUGCUCACAUCCUUAAUUUGAUAGUAAAAGAUGGGUUGGAAGUGGUGAAAGAAGGUGUAGAAAAUAUUCGGGAUAGUGUGGCAUAUUGGACAACAACACCCAAGAGGAAGGAAAAAUUUGAGGAAACGAAUAAACAAUUGAGAAUCCCUUACACUAAGAAUUUGGCAUUAGACUGUCCAACUAGAUAGAACUCAACUUAUAAAAUGCUUGAAAUUGCCAUAGGAUACGAGGAUUUAUUUUGUCGAUUAAAGCAACGAGAGUCUCAAUAUACUUGUUUGCCAAGUACUUUACAAUGGCAAUUUGCAAAGGAUAUUUGUGGGAGAUUGAAGUUGUUCAAUACUAUCACUGAAUUAUUUUCUUCUACUAAACAUCCAACUGCUAAUUUGUAUUUUCCAAAUAUAUGUGAGAUUAAGUUGGCAAUCAAACAAUGGAUUACCUCUCCUAACCCAAUGAUUCAACAAAUGGCAAAAAAUAUGAUGAUCAAAUUUGAUAAAUAUUGGGGUGUGAUUCAUAAUGUGAUGGGAGUUGCCACUGUUUUAGAUCCUAGAUACAAGAUGGAGUUGCUUGAGUAUUAUUAUGAAAAAUUGUAUGAGCAUGACUCUUUUACUCAAGUGAGGGGCAUUCAACAAUUGUGUUAUGACUUAGUUUCUGAUUACCAAAUGAAAAUGAACAAAGGCUCUUUUGGUAGUAAUGUUGGUGAUGUUACUGGUAGUGAAGUUGUUGGUGAUGCAUUAUCUGAGUAUGAUAGAUUUAUAAUAAGAAAAAAAAGGGCUAGAAAUUUUUAUGUUAAAUCAGAGUUAGACCACUAUUUAGAAGAAGAUGUUUUACCAAGAGCUGUUGACUUUGAUAUUUUGAUGUGGUGGAAGUUUAAUGGUGUCAAGUAUCCAACACUUCACGCAAUUGCUAAGGAUAUAUUAGCUAUUCCAGUAUCUAUCGUAGCUUCAGAAUCUGCAUUUAGCACUGGUGGUCAAGUAUUAAGCCCACAUUGUAGUAGACUUCAAUGGACUACUUUAGAGGCUUUAAUGUGCGCUAGAAGUUGGUUGUGGAGUGCUGAAAAUACGGGUAAAGUUUUAUUCAUAUAUGUUGUUAAAUUGAUAUUUGUGUUUAUUCAAGAACUGAUACUAGUAAUGUAUUUUUAUAGGUUCUACGAGCUAUAAAGUUGUUGCUGAAUGCGCUAAUGUAAUGAAUGAAAUGGUUUCAGAUGAUGAAGGUAAAUAAUGUUCUAAAUUUCAUUUUUUGUUAUUAUAUAAUAUAAGCUUUUGUUCUAAUUUUUUUAUUUCUUUUAUGCAGGUGAAAUGAUGGGUGUUGCUAGUGUCACUAAUUUGGAGGAAUGAUUAACAUUUAUUUGUUGAACAAUUUAAGUUGUUUCUUUUUUUUUAUUAUGUAAUUUGAAAGAAUGAAAUAUGUUUAAGUUGCUAAACAAAAUGAAACAUGUUGAAAGACAACCAACAUAGUAUAUUAAUAUCUCCUUUUUUGCUAAAUAGAAUCAUAUGCUACUUAUUGUUGGAAAAACAUAUAUUUAGAUGGUAAUGUUUUUUUUUGUGGGAAAAUAAAUAUGCAUGUCUUAAUUCCUCAUGCAAUACCCAAAUUUUAUGAUUUUAAUUGAAUAGAUUGAUUUGUUUUAGUAAUUUUUUAAAUUAUGAUAAUGAUCCUAUAUUUUGAAUUUGGCUUUGUUAUUGUUUUUUUGUUAUGAAACUAUUUUUUAGCCUUUUUUUUCAAUAAGUUUCAAUAUUUUUUCUCUUUUUUAAAUUUUUUUAAUCAAUUCUAGCGGGGGCGGGGCGAGACGGGAAAACUCAACCUCCAACGGGGACAGGGUGGGUAUGAAUUUUUUAACCCUGACGAGGUCGGGGAUUAGUCAAGAAGUCAGGGGCGAGGGUGGGAAAUGUAAUACCCGUCCCCGUUUCAACCUGUUGCCAUGCCUAGUUGUAGUCCAUAUAUUCAACUCUAAAACUAUAUAUUGUUCACUCUUUCAAUUUGUGAUGCAUAAAUUAAUAGUAAAAACGAAUAAUAAAAAAUAAAUAACAGAGAAGAGAAAUAUAUCUUCUUUAUUAAUCUUGAUAUUUUAAUAAAUUCAUAAUUUAUUAUACAUGUGCAUUGGUUUUUCAUCAACGGUUAUCUUACCGCGAUAGGCAAAUCCUAAAUUAUUAAUUUAAUAUAUAUUUUAAAAAAUACGUGAUGAAAUUAGAUUAAACUAAAUAAUAAUUAGGAAAAUUGAGAUACCAAAGCCCAGCCUCUUUUUUUUUUCUCUCCAUUGUGUGCACACAUCAAAAUAUUGAGAGAGCGAAGUGAAAAAAGAUUUGGAAUACGUUUUGAACUCGCCGUCAAAAACCCAUUCCAGUAGCCACUGAUCGGUUUCGCCGAUUCCACCGCUUCUUGUUAUUUAUCAGAUUGUGGGGUUAAAGCCGAAGAAUUUAAAUUUUUUAAUUUUAAUGCAAGUAAUGAUUUUUAUUCUGGUUUAUACGCUCCUCCAUCAAUGAAGGGUUGUAUCAUGGCAUGAUCACUGCGCAAAUAAUCGCCUUUCCCUUCUGGGUUUUCGAGGAUUUCGCGUUUGUUUCGUUGGGUCGGCGUUUCCUUUCUAUUUUUUAUUUUUUUUAUUAUUUGGGUUUUCUUUUGUUCUUUUUCUUGCCACUAUUUUUUUUUUUUGGGGGGGGGGGGGGGGGGGGGUGAUUGAAGUGAUGCUAGACUUCAGGGAAGGUUUCAAUGUGAAAAAAUAACAUUUUUGGGUUCUGGGGUUAGGCCUAGGGCUAGAAAGUUUUGGUGGGUGGUGGAGAUGAAGGAGAAUACUGAUAUUGAGGAAGGAGAGGCUUGCUAUUAUAAUGUUGAUGAUGAAGCCAACAUUGACCCCGAUUCUUUCUCGUACAUUGUAAGGGCUUGCUUCAAUCUAUUUUGAAAAUUUCCCAUUUGAAUUUGCUUGGUUUAUGCAUGGUUUGGAUGAUCAAUAAAAUUUGUUAAUUUGCCAAUGUAUUUGGUUCCUGGGGGAAGAAAAUAGGAAUGAAGAGUUGUAGAAUUUCUAAUUAUUAAACUUCUGUCUGGAGGGACUAAAUCAGUAUGAUACAUGCUGAACACCACUAUUGGCUGUUGGGCUUCAUAAUCAUACAUACAUUGGGCUUCAUAAUCAUACAUACAUUGUUUGUUAAUGACAAAGAAAUAACAUAAUAGAGGAGUGUCUUGAGUUUCUUGUGUGCUGACAAGCAUAGUGAAUCUAUCUAUCCUAGAAUUCUGCCAAUAAAUAUCACGAAUUGAUUUUGUUUGCCUAAUGAUGCUUUAGAUGUGUAUUCUGCUACUUUGUGACUGAGAAACACAAUUUAAUAUUUACCAACAUCACACACAUCAUCAAUUACUAGGAAAUAGAUUUAUUUGCUAAACUGUUUGUUUUUCUUGUGCAAAAUGGCCUUGAUGCAAGUUAAGCUUCUAGAUGCUUCUUAGAUUGUUGAUGCUAUGUCAAUGUGCAUUUGUAUUUUUUCAUCUGAGAAGGUUAGUACCUACUAAUCAAAUAACAGAAUUAAAGAUAAUUGUUAAAUGCUUGUUGAUCUUUAUGGUGCCUUCUAUUGUUAUGCUUCAUAUACCUACUGAUUAUUGUUGAUUAAUGCCAUUUGCCUUUAAAGUCCUUUGUUAAAAUUUUAUCACAAAAAUAUUAGGACUAAUAAAUUGUUUUCUGAAGGAUGAGAAGAUUCAACAUUUUCUUGGUCAUUUUCAAAAGGACUUUGAAGGUGGUGUAUCUGCUGAGAAUUUGGGUAAGUGGAAUAAUAAAAGUCGAAGCUUGUACUGAGAAAUGAAAGAGCAGUCUUUGCGUCCAUGAAGUGAUGUUAUCAGAUAUGAAUAAUAUUUUUCAGGUGCAAAAUUUGGUGGCUAUGGUUCCUUUUUACCUACCCAGGAGCGCUCUCCUUGUUUGUGUUCUCAUCCAAGGACUCCACAAAGAAACCACAGCUCACCAGAACUUAGUAUCAAUCUCCACAUGGAGGUAUAGGCAUAUAGCAAUAUUUUUGUUUGUUUAUUUUACUAUUUGAUACUUGAUAGGAAGGUAAGAUAUGCUGCCAGCAUAUUUCAGCAUAAAAAUAAUACAGAUUGAUUGAGGACAGUCAGUUAUAUUGUUAUACAGGCUGUGUCUCAUAACACAAAAGCAUCUUCAAAUGGGCUUCCUGCAAGGCCUGAAAAUGCUUCUCAUAGUUCUUAUUCAUUUCGUGAUUUAAAAGAAGCUUCAGUAAAUGAUUCAGUGAAGAAAGAACAAGGAAUUUCUUCCAGUGAUAUAGCUGAGAGGUGCACUUCGAAAGAUGAUAGUACAAAAAAGACAGGAAAUUCAACUGACCAAAGGCCACUGAAGUUUCGAAUUAAAAUGAAAUCUAAUAUCUUAGCACCAAACAAUGCAGAGAUAUAUAGUGGCCUUGGGCUUGAUAACUCUCCCUCUUCCUCAAUGGGGAACAGCCCUGUGGAAAGUGAAGGCAUGCCACCAGUAUCUCAAGAGAAUGCUGAAGAUUCUCCAAAUGGCAUUAUUCAGGUAGAGGUCCUUCUCUAUUUCUACGCUGUUCAAUUCCAUUAGAAAGAUUGAUGUAUUUACUUCUUAUUUGAUGACAUAGGUUAUGACUUCCUUUCCUAUCUCUGGGGGUGUUCUAAUAUCUCCUCUGCAUGAUAGUUUGCUCUACAUGAUAAAGAAUGAAAAAGUUAUCAGAGACAGCAAAUACUUGUCUUCUCUUAAAGGUCAUCAAGAUACUUGUUCCAUGUCUACUGACGAAUCAGAUUCUUUUGUGGGGGAUGAACAUUUGAAGAAGAAAACAGUGAGAAUAAUGAGAGAAAGUGAAAAACAGUUGGAAUUGAAGCAUACAAAUGGCACCUUUUCUGAGAAGGAUUUGACAUUGCAUACAAAGAAAAGAUUAGGAAAUAGAACACCGGAUUGUAAAGAUUUCCUCUCUAAUGACUUGAAACGUACACCUCUGUCAAGUUCAAUUUGUGAUGCUGGUGAAACAGCUGAAGUCACUGCUAAAGCUUUUGAAGCCUCCAAGGACUUUAAUGAGAGUGGAGUGCAAGGCAGAAUGGUUCCCGUAGAAGCUUUGAAGGAGGAGUCAUUGGAGUCAAUAUCUGGUCAGGAUUUUGAGAAGACUGAAAAGCAAAAUGCAGGAAAUGGGUUUAUGAAAAAUGCUUUAGAGCAUAAACUGGAAAAUUCCCGCAAGGAUAAUUUUACAGACCCUAUGAAUAAUAACAUGCGUAAUACUUUCAUGAAUAAGUUUGAAUCUGAUGCAGUAAAACACAAGGUAGAUCAUAAGUAUGAGAACCAUCAGAAAGUAAAGGCCGUGUCUGAGCGGAAGACUAAGUCAAAGGGUGAUCUGAGUCCUGGAAAAGCUGAGGCUGUUGGAAGAAAAGAUAGCUUUGGUGGUACUAAUAAUGCAAUGGUAAUUGAUAAAGGGAUUGCUGGCUUUGACAAUACUUGUAAAAGUAAAAUGAAUAAGUCAAUGUCACUGAAGGGCAAAAAGUUCAGUAAUAGUAACGGGGAUUCAUUGAAAGAAAAAAAAUCAGAACAGAAAGUUGCCAGUGUUGCCAGUAUUGGUGCUAUAAAAAACGGUAACAUCGGUAAUGGAAAAAAGAGUGCAUUUGGGACUAAGGUAAAGGAAAGACUGAGUGGCCAUAAAGUGGCCAACCAGUUGCUAGCUGGGCCAUGCAUCAAAGAUACUUCAGCUGCACUUCCUAUUGCUGAAAACAACCUUGCUCCAGAGAUGAUUUCAUCAGCAGUAGGAGUGCCUCAAGUUAUUGCGGAAGAUUGGGUAUGUUGUGACAGUUGCCAGAAAUGGCGGCUACUGCCUAAUGGUAUGAAGCCAGAGCAUCUUCCAGAGAAGUGGCUGUGUAGCAUGCUAAAUUGGCUGUAAGUUGAUUGCUCAUUUUGGUUGGAAUUAUGCAUGACCAUAUUAUGCCGGGUAUAUGCUUAGGCUAUGAUUGGAUUGGUAGUAGAAAAUGGAAUGGAGUGGACUGGAAUAUAAUGGAAUGUGAUGGAUCGGAAUGGAAUGAAAUAAAAAUGAUGUUCCAUUGUUUGGAUAUUUUAUAAUUGAAAGGAACAAAAAUUUCAUUCCAUUAUUUGGAAAAAGGAUGGAAUGAAAUGAGUUAUUAACUUUUUAAUUCCUAUAUUAUCCUUAUUAUAAAUGUAUUAUCUUUAAGAGACAAAUCUCAGGACAAAAUUUAUAAAAGAUAAAAUAGUUAUUUUACAAUCUAAAAGCUUUGUUCCAUCAAGUACACCCCAAAUUUGGGGGGAAGAAAAUUAGGGUGAAACAAUGGAAUGGAAUGGAUCAUGAUCCAUCAUUAUGUUCCAUUUCAAUUUUUACAAACUAAACAUUGGAACAACUUCCCCGCCCACUGCAUACCAUCCUUUACCACCAAUCCAAACAUGCCCUUAGUAUGAUGUUGUAUUGUAAGCAACAAUCAAAGACUAUCUUGAAUUUUGAACGUUAUACAGAUUAUUUUACAUUUUUAAAAUUUAUCCACAUAUGCAUUUGUUUUUUGCUUUUCGUAUUAUUGCCUGCUCAUUGUUCUCUGAAUUUGUUGCUAGGCCUGGAAUGAAUUCAUGUGACUUCAGUGAGGAUGAGACAACAAAAGCACUUUAUGCCUCAUAUCAAAUACCAAUUUCCGAUGGUCAAAAUAACAUGCAAAGCCAUGGCACUGAAACUGCAAUUGGAGUGAGCUGUACUUUGCAAUAUGGCCUGAAUCACAAAAUGUCCACUUUUGAUAUGUUGUCUGAUCGAGAAAAGAAGAAACAUGUUAUUAAGGAAAAGACAAUGUCAGGAAGUAAUAAUGAUGUUCUUCAGUUCCCAAAUUCUGCAAAGAUCAAUGUUCAAGUAUCUGGAAAAAAUAGAAGCUUGAAUGCCAUGAAUCAUCAUCCUGCUGACUUAAACCCAAUGAAGAAGACAAGUUCUUCUAAACAUCUUAGCAGGCUUGACAACAUGAUAGAAGAGAAAAACGUGCCUAAAGAGAAAGAAAAGCAAGUAAAUGAAGGUACCUCAUUCAUUUCGGAGUUGAUAUGCUGUUAUUUAUUUUUGUGAGUAAGAAAUUAUAGGUAUUCUAAAUUAAUAAUUUCAAUGUUAUUUUCACACGUGGGCAGGUGAUAGAAAGCAUGCUAAGUUGAAACGUAAGAUGGAUGCUGAUCAAUAUAAAUUGGGAACUCCUAAGAAACCAAAAGUCGAAAAUGUUUUCUAUACUGAUAAGCAAUUGAAUCCUGGCAUGGACCUUGAGAAGGUGUCUCUAUAUUCAAGAAAUGGUUUGCCAACAAAAGCUAGUGGGAAGGAAAUGAGGAAGUAUGAUGAAUAUUGUUUAUCUGAUGACAUACAGGACAGAUUACCAGUCACUGUCAAGAAUGAGGGAGAUCAUGCUCAGGUCUCGUCUGGUGGUGGGUCCUUGGAUGUGAAAAACAGAAGUAAAAGUGGUUUAAUGAAGAAAAGGAAAUUGAAGGAGCAUAUGGAUGAUGAAAAGCAUAACAACUCAUACUCCUCGCAUGGUGAAAAGCAGUAUGGUGAAGAAGGCAAUGCAAGUGAAAUUAGGAAGCAAAAGAAAUACAGAAUUUUGAGUAAAGAGGCAAAAUUAGUAACUGAAGGUGAUGAUAAAUUGAGUAAAGAUGGGAUGAGGCAAGUUUGCUUGUCAGGCAAUAGGGACCAAAUGGCUGUUGGGACAGAAGUAAGAUUUGUUGAUAAAGGCAACCAGCCAAGGAAGCAUAGGAAAAAUGUUGCAUCUCUUCAUGCUUCGGACAGUAUUGAUCAAUUGGGCAAGGGUUUGGGCUCUAGACCGCUUUCAUUGGCAGCAACUUCAAGCUCUUCUAAAAUUUCAGGGUCUCAUAAAGCUAAAACCAACUUUGAAGAUGUGAGAGGUUCACCUGUUGAAUCUGUCACCUCGUCACCUCUGAGGGCCUUCAACUUGGAUAAGAAUAUUUUGGCAAUAGGAGACACUUCAGUGAAAGAUGAUGCUACAAAAGGUUACCUCUCUUCAGUAGGUUCAAGGAGAAGUGUUGAUAAUAGGGAGGGAAAGCUAUCAGUAAAAUUGAAGGCGGGUAGAAUUUCGCAUGACUUACAUCCUGCAUCCCACAAAUUAUCUUCAAUAGAGGCUCGGUUUGAGGAUGCUAAAGACACAGCCAGGGUCCAAGCUAAAAAAUCUUCUGAACUAAAGAAUAAUCAUUUGCUUGAAGCUGGUGUUCAUGUUGAACAGCCUGGUUAUUGUGCUAAUGGUAUACGUUAUGAGGAGAAAGUAAACAAGGACAACCAGGAAAGUGAACUUUCUUGGCAGAAAUCUGGUAAGGUUUCAUCAUUGCACCGCAAGGAGAAGGGCAGAAAGUCUGGUUCUCAUGUUGGUAUGAAUAAGAUGAAGAUUUCAGUUUCAGACAUUGGUGGUUAUUCAAAAACAAGUGGGAAGCAUGAUUCAGCAGUUAAUCCCAGUAAUCAUGCAUCUGGUGCUGAGGCAAAAAAUAAUGCUAAAUAUAUUUCUUUGAAGUCUAAAAGUGAAAUUGACUGUAUUAUUCAGAAAAGUGCUUUAAGACAUGGGCCAAAUGAAACUGGAAAACAAACUGAGAUAAAAGAAAGAGACUUUGAGAAUUCAAUUCUGAAGAUGAAUGCUCAAUGUAGCACUGAUAAUAAGACUAUCUCCCGGCAAAACCUGACUCAGGAUUUUAAGGGAGAAAACAAAGCUAAUCUCACUGAAUCCAGAGUUGGGGAAUCCAAAGUUCUCCCAUCUGCAGUGGAUGAAGUAAAAAGGGAAGCAUUGAAUGUGAGUUCUAGAACUGUACCUCAGUAUCAAAAGGGAGGCAUGUCUAAUGAGCGUCCUGUCCAUGUUUCUGGCAAUGAUGAUUUGGCCAAGUCAAUGAGAAAUUAUGCCGAUGUUAGUAACAAUGCUGGAGUUAAUUAUAGUUCUGGAAAUUUUGCACCUGAUCAGCAACUUACUUUGUCAAGUCCUUUGAGAACUAAUUCCAGCCAAACUGCUACUGGCACCCUGGAAGAAGCCGCAAAACUAAAAGAUAGAGCAGAUAAUUAUAAGGUUAGUUGAUCAAUUCAAGAUUUUUCUUAAUAUAUAGUUUGUUGAAUCUAGCAUCUUUCUUUUUUGUAACUGAUGGUGUAAAAUACUGUUUAUUUACAGAACUCCGGGUUUGACUUUGAAAGCAAUGAGACAUACUUUCAAGCUGGUUUGAAGUUUCUGCAUGGAGCCUCUCUUUUAGAAAAUUGUCAUAAUGAGAGUAGCAAGCAUGGGGAAAUGAGUCAAAUGAAAAUUUUUGCUACUGCAGCAAAACUUUUCAAGUAAGUAAAAAUUCUGAAGCUCUAAGUAAAUUGAUUACUUUUUAUGAUCUUAGAUUUCUUCCUUUAUUCAGUUAUUGGUCGAAUGCGAUUUUGGUUGUUAAAAAUAAGACUGAAGUGAGUGUCAGCUCAUGGCAUCUUGGUUCAUUAAAUAUUGGAAUAAACACAAGUCCCACAUUGGCUAGAUAGUGCAAAGAUAGAAUAUACAAGUGGGGGGUAAUCCUCACCCUAUGAGCUAACUUUUGGGGUUGAGUUAGUGUCAAACCCACAUUCUAAGGAUUAAUAGCAUAAUGAGCUGAAAAUUUUGGCUGGUUCAUAAAUAAGCCUAGAUUAGGCUUUGAUGUUCAACUCAUUAGCUCAUAUUCCGGCCCAAUAAUACAAACAUUUUUUUAGUAAUGACAAUGAGGCCUUUUAAUUUGUAAAUAAUUAAAUAUAGGUCUUGUAAUGACAUUUUAAUUGUAAUUUGUAAUGCUUUCAAUGAAUUCAAACAAUGACAUUAGUAUAAAAAUUGUUCCAUUAAAUGACAUUUAGAAGUUUGCACUAUUGUCUUUCUCACGCUAUGGAUGUUAGCUGGCCUUUAAUUGUACAAUUGAAAUGUUUUCAGAUGCUGUGCCCAUGAAUAUGAAACUCACCAAGAAAUGGCAGCUGCUGCUUUGGCAUAUAAAUGCAUGGAGGUGGCAUACAUGAGAGUGGUUUACUGUAAAAAUUCUAGUACUAACAGAGAUCGACAUGAGUUGCAAUCAACUCUUCAACUGGUUUUUCAAGGUAUUGGAACGUAGUUUUCAUAAAAGUGUUUAUGUCUUCAGGCUUGUCAGGUAUUGUUGUAUGUUGAUUUUGCAUUCUUCUAAUAAAAUGUGAAUUCCUGCAAAAAUUAAUAUGGGCCUAGCCUUAUUCAACCCCACCACUGAAGGGCUCUUAUGCCAACCAAGGGGCCUGUUAGAUAUAACCAUUCAUGAUCUUUCUUCUGAUCUGACUGUGUAGCCUUGUCUUUAACAUUAGUUGUCUGAUGGAUGUAUCCAUGCCUUAUUAAGUGAUCCAAGUCAAUGAUAUACCACUGUUUUUUUUUUUUUACUUCAAUGUUUAGGCGAAUCUCCUUCAUCUUCUGCAUCCGAUGUUGAUAACCUUAACAAUCAGACAGCAGCGGAUAAGGCUACUUUGCCCAGGGGUACUAAUACUCAUGUUGCUAUCAACCAAGUCAUAUCUGCUCGAACUCGUCCAAAUUUAGUCAGGCUUCUUGAUUUUGUAAGUUUUAAUUGUUGAUAAACCAUACAUUUUAUUUGGAAGUUUAUCUUGGCAUGUUAAUGUUGAAGUACCAAGGGAUUGCUGUUAAGGGAUCUAAGGGUUAAUUGUUAGGAAAUAAUAAUUGGAAAUGUGGUUCUGUAUUUAGAUAUAAAGUUUGACAGAAAAUCAGGAUGGAUGUCAGCUGUUUUUGCCAUGCAAGGGAAGUUCAGGUUUCAAUCCAUAGACAAUUUCUAUUGCAUAUCAGAGUGAUUCUGUUAUGUAACAAGCAUUUUGUGUUGUCAUACCUCAUACGGGCCGUUGUCACUGACUCAGUUAUAACUUUUUAAUGCAAUUCAUGUUUUAGAUUUCGAUGGACAGGUGGUGGUAAAAUUUCAAGGUUAUACAGUAUUCUUUUCCUGUCACCCUAUUAAUAAGCAGUUAGCUUAUAUGGUUAUUGAGUUUCAUUGUAGGCUAUGAAUACCGAAUCUUAAGGAUUUAUUAUGUAUGUUGAUAAAAAAAAAAAUUUAUGGAAAGUUGGGUAAAAGUUUUUGUGAUUUUGCAGACUCAGGACAUACAUUUUGCAAUGGAGGCUUCUAGAAAAUGUCAGAGCACUUUUGUGCUUGCUAAUGUGAUCAUGCAAGAAGCAUGGAAGAAGGACUGUAUAGCUUCUAUUAGAAGCGCUAUUGAUUUCAGCUUCCAGGAUGUAGAUGAGCUUGUACGUCUGGUUUGGACUGCCACAAAAGCCAUAAGUCACGCUGGUCUUGGUGGUACUAGAUUAUCUUGAUCCUGUAUAUAAUUUAUUUUUUUGGUUUUACUUCUCAACUGAAAUGGAUGGCAUUGUGAAAGGAAGAGGCUAAAAGAUAUCUACCAAGACUAGCACUUGGAAACCUGCUAAGGCGGCAGGUUGAAGGCGAUUUGCUACCCUUGUGUACAUUUGUACAAAAUGUGAUUGAUUAGAAAAUUUUGUAACACUUUUUCAGUUAAGGUUUUUCUUAAUGUGGAUAUAGGGGUACAACACACACCCUUAAAUUUUAUGGGUUAGAAAGAGGGAAGAGGAUUCCUGGCUGUCAAGUGAUGCCGGAUGGAUAUCAUAUAUGUUAGUUCAGUGCUACAUUCUUUGCUCCACUUAACUGGAGCCCCGGGAACAAGAAUUUAGAGUCUGGAAAGAUUAGGGAACCAUUUUUGAGGGCUUUGAACACUUAUAUAGUAGUUAUAAUAGGUCCAUUGUUAAUGACAAACUCUCCUUUUAUGUUAUCAUAUCAAAGUUUUGAAUGAAUAGAAAUCCUUGCAGAAACUUUCCUUGUGUGUGUUACUAAGCAAUGCUAGACUUCUGUUUCCAAUUCUUUGCUUUAUGUUCAAGUGUUUGUCAUCUUCCUCCAUAUAUGUUAUGUAUAGGUUAUAUUGUUAGUAAUUGGGAUCUGGUUAACUGUUUAUAGCAUGGAUUAUUUGUAGCAACUUGAGGUGUCAUUGGUAUUAGUGCAUGUUAUCAUGUGAAGAAAUAUUAGCCUGUAGUGAGUUACCAUGCUUAAGUAAGGUUAGCAAAAUUUUCCUGUUUUGACUCCUUUUGAGAAUUUAUUCAUUUAGUUUUGAUUCAUGUUAGUGGAGGAGUAUACAGUAUCAUUGGAUCGCAUAUGGGUAUAUACUGAAAUUUUGAUUUUAACUGCCUGAGAAGUCAAAACUCUCCAAUAAAAUGACAACACGUGAUUGAAUGAUAGUUUAAAAGACUGGAUCAUAACUAAGCUUUUAUUUUAUAUUGUCCUGUUCCCUCUUUAUUGUUGGUAGGGAUGGUUUAAUCUGGAAUUUGUUAAUCAUUUCCUUAGCCUAUGUCUGAAAUGUUGAAAAUUCCUAAGUUUUGUGUGGUCUAUUUUGUAUCUCGAUAUUCAAAAGUAAAUUUUGACUUGUAAACUUUUCUCUAUCAUAACAUGACCUAAUAAUGGUAAUUGUAGUGGCUGAUUUUGUGGUGGAGUCUGCCUCACGAGAAAGAAUUUCCAUCGAUAUAGCACAUUACAGCCAUACUCCUUGAGUUUUUAUCAAAUUACACAUACAUUUAACUUUUUAUUUUUUCUGCACUUCGUAUUUAAGUUUGAAAACAAUGACUCAUUUUUUUCCUUUAUUAUUAUUAUAUUUUGUUCAGGUUAACCCCCUCUUUCUUUGUCGCACUGCCAUUGUUUUCUUUCAUAUAUCCCCUACAAAUAAACAUUGAGGGUUGAGUGCUUGAAGAGUGACACUAACUAGAUAAGCUGUUUUAGCUAUGCUUACCCAGCUUGCAAGACUGGUGGGAUAGAAAGUAGGUGUUUGUUAGAGAUAAUUUUUUCCUUUGGAGAAAUUGGAUCUGGUUUGGAAUUUGCAUAUAUAGAGAAGAAAAAAAAUGAAAAGAGGUAAAAAGAGAAAGGGGUAUGCGAAACCUCAUAGGAAAAAAACAAACGAAGCAUCAAAUUGUCUCUGAUGACGACAUGGUGGUCCAUGACAGGUGUAAGGAGGAAAACCAAAUCCAACUCCGUUUGUAUGUGGUGAUGGCUUUGAAGGGUGCCAAAAAAAUGUUGAACUUCCUUUAAAAAUCAAUAUAUCUAAUAUUUAAUAUGUUUCCCAUGGUGAGAGACAUCAUACACACUUACACUGUAGUCUUGACUGUCUUUUAUUCUGAAUUAGUGUGUGUUUGCUUUGGCUUCAACUUAAUGUUGAUUCUUGUCCUUUAAAAGCUUAUUAUUGUAGCUUCUAUGUCAUUUGAGUUAUUUGAUGUGAUUUUGGUGUUGGAUUUAAUCAGAACUCAAAUGAUGUUGCAAACAUGAUUUUUGCGUUGGAUGUAGUUGGAAGGUGUUGUUCCAACUCCCAAACACGCUCUCCGUAUGUAGUUUUGUUGUUUUUGAAUAUUGAAGAUGUUGUUCCAAAAACACUUUUGGUGUUGGAUGUAGUCGGAAGAUGCUAUUCCAAACAUGCUCUUCAUAUGAAGUUUUGUUGUUUUUAAUUGAAGAUGUUCUAAACACGAUUCUGGCGUUAGAUGUUGUCGGAAGAUGCUCUUUCAAACAUGCUCUUUGUAUGUAGUUGUUAUUUUUGAAUAAUGGUUUAGUAGAUAUGUCACGCGAAUCUUUCAUUUGUUAUGGAACUCGAAGCAAGUUCCCUUUGGCCAGAAUUUUUAGGUCGCUAGUUUUCCCCAAUAAUUGUCUUGGAAUAAGUGGUCAUGCUGAAAUAGUUGUGUUGUUAUUCUUACUAUGUAAUGUUGGGUACUCUAUGUUCUUUGUUGGCUCAAGUGUGUUAUAAAAAAAAAAAAGAAAGAAAAUUCCGUGAUACACAUGAUGUGUACCAUUCCGCCUGUGCAUGCAUUAGGAAUAAAAGUUGACAAUGUAUUCAAACUUGUAGAUUUGAAUGUUAGAUGCUAGAUUUUCUUGAUCCAAUAUUAUAUUCCUAUCACAAUGGAACAAAUUCAAUACCUCACGUCUUUUCAAAAUUAACUCUGCAUUCCUCUUUUGUUCAUUCUUUCUCAUUCAAAAUACUAUUGUUUAUAUUUUCAUUUUACCACCUUAUCUUCUCUUUUGACCUGCGCGCAUGUGUGUAUUUAUAUUUGUUAUUAUAUAGCUAGUUUUCUAGAAAGAAUAUUUUAACAAGUUACAUGCUUGGAUUUUUAUUUUUUUUGAAAAAGUUGAAGCUACAUCUUAUUAUAAAGUAUUUCUUUGAAAAGAUAUGAGUGUUUUGUUGAUGCAUACUCUUUCAAAAAAUAUUUCAGCAAGUUAUACUUUAACUGUAUUUAAAGAAAAUUUUAGUUAUAAUUUGUUAAAAUACUCCUUUAAGAUAAGUAGAUGAAUGUUUGCAAUUUUCUAUUAUAUAUCUAGUUUUCUAGAAAGAAUAUUUUAACAAGUUACAUACUUGAUGUUUCUUUCUUCUUUUUUUUUUGAAAAAGUUGAAGCUACAUCUUAUUAAAUUAUUUCUUUGAAAAAAUAUGACUUUUUUGUUGAUGCAUACUCUUUUAAAAAAUAUUCUUUAAGAUAAGUAGAUAAAUGUUAGCAAUUUUUUUUUUGAUGAUUUAGAAAAUUCUUUUGUAUACGCACCUAUCCUCACUUUUUAUUUUCUUUUGAUUUUCUUUUGAUUUAAGGAUUAAAUAGAGUUACUCAUUGGAUGAGAACUAAAGAGUGAAGAUAAAAAGUAACUCUUAUGAAAUUUUGAUCCCUCCUCUCUCUCUUGAUUUCCUUGUAUUAUCUUUCAUGUUUAUCUAUCAUUACUUGGAUGUGAUAAUACCUAGUUUUGUUCAUUACUGGCGCAUUACACAACAGCUAGGAUGCAAUAAUUUUUGUUAUUUUCUAUUCUAACUGUAGAAUGCAAUUUUAGUUCUUUGAUUUUACUUGUACAGAAAGAACAAUUUUUUUUUUUUUGAAAAAAGAGAAAAUUUUUGGGGGUUCUUUCCUUGUAAUUUAACCUCGGUGGGGAGAACUCUUGAACAUCACGUUUGGUAAGGAUGUAAACUUUUGGUUUGACUCAUGACACCCUUUUGUGUGGUUCUAUUUGUCUAUCAAUAAUUUUGGUUAUUUUAUUUUAAAAAAUUCAUAAUUUUAAUAAAAUUCUUAAUUUUGCAUACAUUUUUUUUUAUCCGAUUGAACCAUGGAUCUAAUAUAUUCAUUUAAGGUAUUAUCAUUAAUUAAUUAAAAUGUCUGAAAUAAAAAAAUUAGGCAAAAUGGAGGAUUAAACUUGGGAAUUUUUUAAAAUAUGAGGGUUAAACAUUUUUAUUUUAAAAUAAAGAGACUAAAAUCACAUAUUUGAAAAGAUAAAAAUAUCAAAAUUAUAUUUAAGAAUAUGGGACUAAAAGGUAAAGUGUGAUAGAGAUCAAAACAUAAAAAUAGUAUAAAUAUAAAGAUUACAAUGUAAACACAACAUACAUUAACGUCAUGUCAACGCUCGUUAGCAACAUUUUUUUCAAUGGCCGGGACCAAAAGGAAAUUGAAAAUGUUUGGAUAUAAGGACUAAAACAAAUAAUUUUUUAAGUGUAAGGACUAAAAAAUAAAAUUUACACAACUAUAAAAAUCAAAUAAAUAAUUAAGCAUAUUAAAAAAUUAUAGAAUUUGGGAAAAGCCGCCCACUUCAUUCAAUAGAGCUUUUGUGAAAGAGAUAAUAGGAUUAGGAAUCAGCAUUUCUUGUAAAUGAACAUAAAGCUUACAUAGUCUAAGUGUGCUAUGAGGAAUAGUCUUACUCCUAAGAAUCUUGUAGUGGCUAGAAAUAAUGGUAGCAAUAAACUAAAUGAUUCGUACAUAAAGCCACAACAGGUUGCUGGAAUUUCAAACCCUUUCCUUAGCAGGAUAAGCACUCAUUCUCUAGAAUAGUAUAAAUGAUUAAUUUGUUUAGGAAUAAAACAAACAGAAAGCUUCAUUUUUUUGAAAGUUCGGAUUUUAUAAUACAUUUACCUAAAUCUGAUAUUCCUUAAAAAAUGAGUAAAAGAAAAAUUCAAAGAUGAGUUAUAUGUAAUAUGUAAAAGAAUUGAAUGAAGAAUCUCAUUUCAUAUACUUCAGUAUUUUAUUUUAUUAAAAAGAUACUGAAUAUUAGCAUGAUAUCAUUCAAAUUCCAGAUUGAAGUAUCUUUUUGAAUGCUAGCCCGAAGAGACUAUCAUAAUAGAGGAUUUUCUCAUAGUGAAGUUUAAACUUAACAGAUUCGACAACCACUUGUGUGAUUAAGAAUCUUUUAUUGUUUUUAAAGCGAGCUAAUGGCAUAUAUUGGUGAAAAGUUCUUUGAAGUAAUUUUCUUUAACUAUUGGUCAUGGCUUAAUUUUUCCUAGUUUCCAAUGGUUACAGUUGUAUAAUAGAAUUUGAGAGUAGACUUAAAGGGGUCAACAGUGGAUUACAACAGGUAACUGUCAAAGUAGAGAUAACUAAAUUUCUCACUAAAGUUGAUUUUAACGUAUUUAGAUUUUAAAAAUUAGAUUUAACAUACUAUGAAGAUUUUGUAUUAUAUUUUAGAGUUUUCUUAAUUUGAAUCAACGUGUAUAUUCUUUUAAAAUUAUAUUUUUUUAAUAAUUAUAUAUAUAUAUAUAUAUAUAUAUAUAUAUAUAUAUAUCAAUGAUAAGACUUUUAACUUCAUAACUAGUGUUUUACAUAAAAUGUGUUUAAUAACAAUUAUGUAUAUUAAUAACUUUUUAAAUUAGAUCUUAUUGUGAAUAUAAUUUCUCUUCAUACUUUUAAUACUCGGCAAAUCUGUUUCUUUUGUGGUACAUGUUAUAUUUCUUUUGGUACAUGGCAAAGGUGUUUGACAUGACUAAAAAUAUUCUAAAAAAAAAAUAAAAAUAAAAAUUGUGUAACUAAAAAAAUAAUCCUUAUAAGGACCACUAGAAGAAGUUUGCUCAUAUAUAUAUAUAUAUAUAUUAAAUAUGAAGUAUUUCUACUUCCCCAAAUCAGUCACUCAUGGUUUUUGUAUAUAAAAGCUAAUAAAGAGUGUUUUAAAAAUAAAAAUAAAAAGUACAUUGUUAACAUUCCUAAGAGGUUGUGGAUUCCAGCUUAGCAAAGAUGCAUGACUUUGGAGUUUGGAUGAUCCAUUGGCUUAUAUUGGAGGGAAUGCAGAGCCAGUAGAUAUAUACAAGGAAAGUUUUGCCUUAGGCCUUAAAUGAAUUUGUCUUUAUGCCCCACUUUCUUAAAAGUCUGUUGUUCUUUUAUGUGAAUGUCUAACAUGAGUGGCUGUUUGAAGGAUGAAUGGUCAUUAGCCAACAUGCGUGUGCUUGUUUUUUAAGCACAUUAUUACUAAUUCACAAAUUUAAAUUUUUACCUAAUAAUCAUCAUUUUAACAAUUUAUUAAACCCUUAAAAAACUAUUUGUUAAAAAAAUUAAUAUUUUUCUCUCAACUUUCUUACCUUCCUAUUUGUUAAAAAAAUUGAUUUUUUUUAAAGGCAAACAAUUUUAUUUUUUAAAAACACUCAAAUUCUUCACAAGAAAAGCCGAAGCCAAGUCCAAAAGGCCCCAAUGCAGUGCCAGCCUAAAAAAAUGUUAGCAAUAAGAGACACAUAUUAGUUGAAGAUGACUUUUAUAUUAAUUAUUUUUUAUACAUAUUGGACCAAUUUGUUUUAUUUAUCAAGACUUAUUUCAAAUAAUUUUUACAAUAUAAAAUUAUUUUAUUUUAAUCCUAAAAAUUUAAAACUUAAGAGGAAAAUGAGUUAUAAAAUUUUAAUAUGAAUUUUGAAAAUUUGAAGUUUUAGUGAAUGUUUUGGCAUAAACGGUUUUAAUUAAUUUUCAAAAUUAAAGGUUUUGGGAGAAGUGUUAAUAGAAUAAAUUAAUACUUCUAUAGAAGUAUUAAACUUAAAAGAUUGAUUAUAUGUUUGGAUAUACACCAAUUAGUCACGUCUAAUAUGAAAUUCAAGUCAAUUUGACAAAAUUAAUGUGAAAGCUAGUAUUUGUUGCUUCUAUAUUAACAUGAAUUUGUGUAAAAAUAUAAUAAAAUUGACAUGAAUAUUUUCGUAACAAACAGGCUACCAAACAUACUGAUUUAUUUUUUGAAUGGAUGCAUUGUUUACAAAAUAUUAUAAACAAUAAGUCCCUUUGGGGAUAUUCAAUAAAAAUUGUAGAUAAUAACAAUAUAUCUAUAAGGUUUAUUAUAAUAAAAAAAAAUCAAGUACCUACAUCCUAUUUGAGAUAAUUAUUACAAAAUAGAUUAAUCAUAUUCUCUAUUUUAAAUCAAAUGAACUACUUGAUCAUAAAACUUUGACUUUACUAGAAAGAUCAUGAGAACAAAGAAAAGGUUGAUAAUUUGCAUUAUAUUAGGCACCACUAAAAUUUCUGCAUCUCCAAAAUUUCGGCAUCAGAGAAAUGAAAAAUGCGAGUAAAUGGUUAAUUUAAGAAGAGAAAGCUAGAAACCUCUAUUAUUAGUCUACUGUGUCCACAAGCAAUGGACUUAUAUUAUUAUUGCACCACCAAAUUGUAGAAAAAUGGGUAAGACAGUGGAAAAGUAAGGUAAACAAUUGCUUGUAAUUUGUUGUGUGUCAUCUUUCAAUGAUUCCAAGACCUUUGUACUUUUUGUGAAGAUAUUUCCAUUUCAGUAGACACUAGACAGUAGCAUGCGCUUAGUAAGUAUAUCCUAUAGUGGCAGUGUCCACCCAUAAGGUUUUGUUUGUUUUUGUUUGUAUCAUUGCCAAGAUUAGAAAACUUGUGGGACUAAAACUCCGCAAGUUAUGGAUGUCUGUAGCAGCUUAUACGUGCUAUAGUCAUUUUAUUAACAGUGAGCAAUGAGACAUGUGGGGAGAAAAAGUAGGGGAGGACUUAAGCAUAUGUGUGAGGGUGGACAAAGGCACCAUGACAAAUUACACUAGAUUUGGUCUGCAGAAUGGGGGCAUUAUUUUGGGACAAUUCAGAAUGGCCCUACUAGUAGCAGUCUUAUAUCACUCGCAUAAAUCUUCUUUAGCUUUGUAGGGUAUUAUGUACCACUAAUAUUGUCUAAUAUCACCCACAUAAUUCCAUUGUUCUUUUUUUUACGAAAAAGUUUAAGUGGAACCUCUAUGAGAGUCUAUGAUGGUCAGAACAAAUCUCAAUGCUCAAAAAUCAUCUAAAAAAAUAUUUAGGGUGUGUUUGUAUUAAUGUUAGGUUGAACCAACACACAUUUCAAUGUAUUAUUUUUAGAAGUAAGAAUUUGGAGUUUGAAUUGAACGUCCCUUUGAGGUCCUUUCAACGGAAAAAUAAAAAUACACUUAAAUAUUACUCACCAACAAGAUCAUUACAUGACUAUUAGAAUUAAAUUCACAUAUGAAUUUGAACCUUACCAAUUGAAUUGACCUUUAUUUACUCCAUUAUUGUUAAUAAAUUAUAAUACACAACGCCCUAAUUUUAUUUACAUGUCACUUUUUAUGUUAUGGUUGAUAAUAUCAUGCAUAUAAGUUAAUUAAGAACCGGAAAGGGGGUAAAGAGAUGCAAAGUUGAUGCUAUGAUUUUGUGGCUAUAAUAUGAUGUAGCAGAACUAGGAACUCAGUUAUGGGAUUCGAAGUUCUUGGACAGACAAGGGAACUCAAUGAAACGAAUGAAUUCCGAUGAGCAUGGUGGUCAUGCUUUUCAUUAUUAGAAGAAGAAAUUACAAGGAGGAGGUUGAUUACAGAUUCUAUUCAAAAUAUUCCCUUACUUGCCAAUUACUACUUAUAGUUCUCAACCACUAAUUGCCUAACUUUUUUCUAACUAACAGCAGUUAACAGAAUUAAGUUUGACUAACUAAUUACCUUCCUAAGCCUAUAUCAAUUCCUCCCACCCAAAAGAAUCCUUGCCCUCAAGGAUUAAAGUGAGGAAACUUCUGUUUCAAGUCAUAAAAGAAUUCCCAAGUUGCAUCUUCAGGUAGCUGAUGCUUCCAUUGAACCAAAACUUUGGUUAUAGCACGAUUGCCUCUCUUGACUGUCAUUCUGUCAAUGAUAGCUGCAGGUUCCUUCUGAGAAGUAUCCAAUAAAGGUGAAGGACUAAAGUUCCCAGCAGUAGCAGUACCAUUAAACUUCUUUAACUGAGAAACAUGGAAGACAUUAUGAACCAUUGAUCCAAGAGGCAAUUUAAGCUUGUAUGCAACAGCACCAAUCUUGUCUUCUACUGGAAAUGGAUCAUAGUACUUAGGGGCCAACUUUGCAUUGGGUCUGGCCUGCACUGAAACUUGGCGAUAAGCAUGUAAUUUUACAUAAACCAAGUCACCAAUCUGAAAACUCCUAUCAGAUCUGCCUCUAUCUGCAAGUUGCUUCAUUCUGUCCUGGGCUCUUUUCAUGUGGAAUUUGAGUAACUUUAACAUUUCCUCACGUUUCUGCAAACUUCUAUCAACCAAAGCAAUCUUAGAUUCCCUCAGAAGAUAAGGUAAAUGAACAGGAGGAGCUUGGCCAUACACAAUCUCAUAAGGGCUUGCUUUAAUAAUGCUAUGGUAAGUGGAAUUGUACCACCAUUCAGCAAGAGGCAACCACUUAAACCACUGUGCUGGAGAGUCACUACACAUGCACCUAAGAUAUGUUUCAAGGCAUUUAUUCACCACUUCUGAUUGACCAUCAGUUUGUGGGUGAUAAGCUGUAGAGAGUUGUAUCUGAAUCCCUUGCAAGGACAUAAAUUCCUUCCAAAAGUGGCUAACAAAAAUAGAAUCCCUAUCACUGGUAAUGGUGUCAGGAAACCCAUGCAAUUUAAAGACAUUAUCCAGGAAGCAUUGGGCCACAUUCGCAGCAGUAUAAGGAUGUGAUAAGGCCAUGAAAUGAGCUGCCUUACUAAACCUAUCUACUACUAUAAAAAUGACUUGUUUACCAAAAGAAAAAGGAAGACCUUCAAUGAAGUCCAUGGUGAUGUGCUGCCAUACAUGCUCAGGAAUAGGUAAGGGCUAAAGCAGGCCUGGAGAUGCAGUUGUGUCAUAUUUACUCCUUUGGCAAAUGGCACAUUGAAACACAAAAAACUUGACAGCCUUGGACAUGCCUCUCCAAUAAACCACAUUUUCCAUCUUUUUCAAGGUAGCAUCUCUACCUGAAUGGCCCCCACAAGUUGAAGUAUGAAUCCAAGAGAGAAUGUCCUGUCUUAGUUGGGAGUCUGAGCCAAUGACUAAUCUGCCUUUCCUCCUCAACUCAUUCCAGACCCAAGUAUAAUGUUUGUGAGAAGAGGGAUUGUUUUUUAAGUCACUAACAAGUUGUUGUAAGAUAGGAUCUUUCUGCCAGGACUAUUGGAUCCUAGAGAGCAUGCUAGAAUCAAGCUGAUGAACCUGUAAUGCCAUGAUCUUAGGGGAAUCAAGUCUAGAUAAAGCAUCUGUCGCCACAUUUUCUCGACCCUCUUUAUACUCUAUGUUGAAAUCAAAUUCCAUCAACUUUACUAACCAUUUUUGCUGGAAUGCUGUGGACAAUAUCUGCUCUAGGAUGUAUGUCAAACUUCUAUGAUCAGUUCUAAUGAUGAACUUCUUGGGGAGUAAGUAGUGCCUCCAUUUUUGGACUGCAAACACAACUGCCAAUAAUUCCUUCUCAUAUUGUGAGUUCAAACUUCUACUGAUGAAGGCAAUUGGGUGGCAAUUCUACAUUAACACAACACCUAAGCCUAGGCCAGAAGCAUCCACCUCCACCACAAAUUCCUUAGAAAAAUCUGGUAGGGCCAAAACUGAUGAUGCUACUAGCCUUUGCUUCAAUUCCUGAAAUGCUUCUUUUGCUGUAGAAGACCAACUAAAAUUUUCCUUUUUCAACAUAUCAGUCAAGGGUUUUGCAAUAGCACCAUAUUGACUUACAAAUCUUCUGUAAUAACCUGCAAGACCCAAGAAACUCCUUAAUUGCUUCAAGUUUUAUGGUAGGGCCCAAUCUUGUACUACUGCAAUUUUUUAAGGAUUCGUGGAAACUCCUUCUUUAGCAAUAAAAUGGCCCAAAUAUUCUACCUUGUCAACAACAAAAUAGCAUUUGGAUUUCUUAGCAUACAAGCAAUAAGUUCUCAUAGUAUGAAGAACCUGAUAUAGAUGAGAAAGGUGGUCCUCCGUACUUCUACUGUAGAUGAGUAUAUCAUCAAAUAAAACAAGUAAGAACCUUCUCAAGUAAUGCUGAAAAAUUGAAUUGAUCAGCCCUUGAAAUGUGGUAGGAGCAUUGGUAAGCCCAAAGGGCAUCACCAAGUAUUCAAAGUGGCCCGCAUGAGUUCUGAAAGCAGUUUUGUGAAUAUCAGCUGCAUCCAUUCGAACUUGAUUGUAACCAGCUCUUAAGUCAAUUUUGGAAAAAAUGGUUGACCCAUGCAACUCAUCCAGAAGGUCUUCUACUAAUGGUAUAGGGAAUUUGUUCUUGAUAGUUGCCUUAUUGAGAUCCCUAUAAUCCACACAAAGCCUCCAGGCCCCAUUUUUCUUUCCCACCAAUACCAUUGGACUUGCAUAAGGACUGUCACUCUUCUGUAUAAUUCCUGACUUUAAAUAGUCUUGAAUCAAUCCAUCAAUAACUUUUUGUUGUUGUUUAGCAUACCUAUAAGGCCUCUUGUUGGUAGGGUUAGCUCCUUGCAUUAAAGGAAUCUUGUGAUCAUGGUCAACUCGACAAGGGGGAAGACCAGAUGGUUCCUGAAAAACAUAUGUGAAUUCGAGUAACAAACUAUUAAUAUCAGGUGGCAGUACCUGUUGACUAGUAUGAGUAGUCAAAGAGUGGAGUAGGGAGCCUUCAACUGCAGAUUGCAAACUAAUCAGAGAGAGGUGGACACCAUAAGAGAUAGUUUUAUGAAGAUGUUGUUUUCGGGCAGUGGCCAGAUUGGUAGGAGUAGCUCCUCUCAGGACAUGUCUUUUUCCAUGGACAAAAAUUUUCAUUGUUAAUUUGUUGAAAUUCCAUGUGAUGUCCCCUAAUGUUACUAGCCAUUCAAUUCCCAAUACUAAAUCACAACAACCAAGAGGUAACAACAUCAUAUCAGAAGUAAAGUUGGUAUUUUGAAUUGACCAAGAAAAUUUUGGAACCUUUGAAGAAAUCUAGACUUUAUUUCCAUCUGCUAUAGUGACAGAAACAAUGUCCAUAGCUUCUGUUUGACAGCCCAUAUUCUGAGCUAUGUGUAAGCCCAAAAAUUUAUGAGUGCUUCCACUAUCUAUUAAAAUAUGGAGAGGUUUCUUUCCACAAUAACCAGUGAAUCUCAUGGUUCAAAAAUUAGCUACUCCAGUUAAUGCAUUCACAUAAAUUAAAGGUUCUGAAUCAGGUUCAGUAACCACAUUAGCAUCAGGUUGUUGAGGUCUAGGGCCCUCUUCUUCAUCUUCAAUUUCCAACACAUGGAUCUGCAAUCUCUUAUGUGUAAGGCCAUGUUCAGGUGUAAAUGGUUCAUCACAAAAGUAGCAUAGGCCCUUCGAUCUUCUUUCAGCCAUGUAUGUGGGAGUUAGGUGCUUAGGUGUUUGUGGUUUGGUAGAGGGAUUGAUGGUUAAAGGAUUGGUUGAUCUAGGAGGGUUUGGAAGUAGGGGUGAUUUAGGAACAAAGAAAGAUUUCUGGUUCUUGACAAAUGGUUUGGCUUGUGUAUUGGAGAAGGAAGAUUCAUACAUCUUUGCAAGGGAAUAAGCCUUUCGAACAGAAUUUGGCUGAAACAUUCGAACAAUCAUUUGAACCUCUUGUUUUAAUCCUCCUAAAAAGCAGCUAAGUUGACGCUCAUCAGAAAGAUCCACUCUUAAUACAAUUGAGUCAAACUCCUCAUGAUACUCUAUGAUGGAUCCUGUCUGCCUGAGCUUCAUUAAAUCCGCCAUGGGAUCUUCAUAAACAUGUCCAAAACAAUCAAGUAACAAGAUCUGAUAUUCAUUCCAAGAAGGCAAAUUCUCCAAUCCUACAGAUUUUAUGUAAGCACUAUGCCACUACAGUGCUUUUCCUUCGAAAUGAACUACUUCUAAACAUACCUUGAAUUCAUCAGGUGUAUUAUCAAUCGAAAAAAAAGUUUCACACUGGAUCAACCACUGUUUUAUUCCUUCACCAUUGAAUCUUGGAAAGUCCAACCUAGCCAAUCAAGUCCCACAAGAAUAGGGGUUGGAUCUCUCACCUCUAGGUGGAUUGCUUGCUGCUGGAGAAUCUUGUUGCCUCUGCUGAAACAUUCCGUGUAUUGUUUGUUGCAUGGAAGCACCGAGCUCGACAAAUCUUGAUUUCAUUCUGCUGCUGAGACGUUCUUCCAUUUCAUGAAGGGAAGCUUGACAACGUGUGUUCUCUGCCAUUGCUUGAUCACCAAGGAAGGAACAGGCUCGAUGAUACCAAUUGAUGUAGUAGAACUAGGAACUCAGCUAUGGGAUUCGAAGUUCUUGGACAGACAAGGGAACUCAAUGAAACGAAUGAAUUCCAAUUAGCAUGGUGGUCAUGCUUUUCAUUAUUAGAAGAAGAAAUUACAAGGAGGAGGUUGAUUACAUAUUCUAUUCAAAAUGUUCCCUUACUUGCCAAUUACUACUUAUAGUUCUCAACCACUAACUGCCUAACUACUUUUUUAACUAACAGCAGUUAACAUAAUUAAGUCUAAGUAACUACCUACCUUCUUAAGCCUGUAUCAUAAUAUUACUCAAGUAAAGUUUCAUGUCAUUCAUUUGAUUGAUUAAUUAUUUCAAAGAUCAAUAGCAUGGAAACAGAGUUAGCUUUUAAAAUUGUUUAAUGGUGGCACUAGCAUAAGGAAAAGAGGUGUUUGUUAUUGUUACACCACUUACCAUGUGGCAUGUGCACUUGAUAGAUAUUUUCUUCCUUUUUUUAUAGAAAAAAAGGCAUUAGCAAAGAGGUCUGUAUGUGACUCUUAAACUGCAUUAAUUGGCGAAUAAUUAUACUGGUGUCACAACUGAUAGAGUCACAAAAAUGCAUCAAAUGCCAUGAUAAUGAUAAUGAUUUGAAAGCCAAUCAAUCAUCCAUAAUGGCAUUGGUAGUUUGCUAUGGUAUAUUUUUGGUAGCACUAGAAAUCUCACUUCUCCAACUUGCAAAUCAGCCCAGCUUUCUUGUCUUCUUGCUUCCAAACUGUUCCAAAUGGAGUUUUUCCAUUCUAAGGUUUAAGUAUGUCACGGGCUUUAAAGAGAGUUUGGAUUGGUAUUUAUAGAUCAGUUAAUAAGGACUGAUUGCAAUGAGAAUUGAAUUAAGCUUUUAAUAAAGCAAAGUACUUCAAUUUAGCUAUGUUUGUACUUUAAUUGAUUGAUGAAAUAGAAAAUGUUAGUUUUAGUGAGUGUUUUAUUCCCUUUUAACAGGAAAAAAAGAGAAAGAAAAAGAAUAGGCAAAGGUUAUGGAUGAGGUGCUCAUUUUUUUUCACCUAAUCCAUGAUACUGUUUAGUUAUUAAUUUAAUUAGGAGGUGAGAAUUAAAUCUUUGACAUAGUAAAAAUAAUUUUAAUGAGGUUGAUAUGUAAAUUUUAUAACUCACACUUUAAAUUUAUUAAGAUUUAAUUAUUAUCUAUAAUAUAAUUUUUUCUCUCAAUCAUAUUUUUUUUUCACUAGACAAUUAAAAUCUUAAAAAUAUUAAAUCAAGUUCCGCUCAAGCAACGAUAUGUUAAUAAAAUCUUUACAUAGUUUGGACAUGUAUAGAAUACUGUUAUUAUAUAAAAAAAAAAUAGAUGUGCCUGAUAUCUGUGGGUCCAUGUGAACAACUCUUUCAAACUUUGUUAAUGUAAUGCUAUUGACGCCGCAUUUCAAUCAAUACUGCACAUAAUUCUCACACGGUUUCAUCUAACCUUUUCCAAAAGGUAAAAAAGAAAAAGAAAGAAAGAAAAACAUAUUCACUUAACCUCAUGGAUUCAUGUGCCAAUUAUGCAUACUUAUGACUUAGCAUUACAUAGGUACCAAUUUUUUUAAUAUGUAACGUCAUCAAGCUCUAAAUUCCACUAUAAAUACAAGCAUGGUUGAGAGGGUUUGGCAUAUAGAGUAACCAGUAGUGUGCAAAAGAAAACUCAAGCUCCCAGAUUCUGUUCCAAUGCCUCCCGUACCAAUUUCCCCCAUCAAAGUUGGGCACAUUGAUGAUGUCCAAGAGCUAAGAAAAACCAAGCCAAGGACAAUUCCUCAAAGAUUUGUACGAGACUUGACAGAAAGACCAACACUCACUACACCUCUUCCCCCACCACAUAGUGACAUGCCAGUCAUUGAUUUCUCUAAGCUUAGCAAAGGGAACAAAGAGGAAGUCCUCACUGAACUUUUCAAUCUUGCAACUGCUUGUGAAGAGUGGGGAUUUUUUCAGGUAAAUAUUUAUAUAGUAUUUGGUUCUUACUAAAACUAUUACUGUUUGAUAACUAUUCAGACUAUCAUUAACUUACCGAAGUGACAUUUUUUUUAUCUGUGAAAAUGGAAGAUAGUGUCAGGAGUAUAUAAUAAUUCAUACACUCUACUCAACCAAUUAAGUUAGACCCCUUCACAUCAAAGUUACAUAUAUAUAAUUAUGUGUAUUUUUUUAAAACAUAUUCUAUCAUGGAAACUAAUGUUUAGUACGGUCAUUAGGUAAUUAAUCAUGAAAUUGACCUCAAUCUGCUGGAGAGCAUCGAGAACCUGAGCAGGGAGUUUUUCAUGCUACCUUUGGAAGAGAAACAGAAAUACCCUAUGGCUCCAGGAACAGUCCAAGGGUAUGGACAAGCUUUUGUUUUCUCAGAGGACCAAAAACUGGACUGGUGCAACAUGUUUGCUCUUGGAAUUGAACCUCAAUAUGUUAGGAACCCAAAUCUAUGGCCAAAGAAACCAGAAAAAUUCAGGUAACAUAUAUAGUACUUCCAUAUAUUUUUAGGACGAAGCGUGGUUCCUUAGGUGGUUUAGUGUUGUUCUCGAAUCAAAAUUGGAGUUUUACUUCAGAAACAUAUGCUAACCUUAAAUGUAAAUAUUUAUUACACGAAUUAUCAAGAUGAAACUCCAGCUUUGAUUGGAAAACAACACUAAAAGUACUUAAGUAUCUAAGGAACCAUAUCUAAGUUUUGUUGAUAUUUGUAUUCAUUUAGUCCAAUGUUUUUUUAUGUUAGUUAAAGAAACUUUAAAAUGCUUAAACAUUCAUGCAGCGAAACUGUGGAAGAAUACUCAGGAGAAAUAAGGAAACUCUGCUAUAAUCUGUUAACAUACAUAGCUUUAGGCCUUGGUUUGAAAGGGGAUGAGUUUGAGGAGAUGUUUGGCGUAUCGGUGCAAGCCGUGAGGAUGAACUACUACCCUCCAUGUUCAAGACCUGACCUUGUUUUGGGUCUGAGUCCCCAUUCAGAUGGAAGUGCCCUCACUGUUCUGCAGCAAGCAAAGGGAGGCCCAGUGGGACUUCAGAUACUCAAGGACAAUACAUGGGUUCCUAUUCAACCAAUUCCAAAUGCUCUUGUCAUCAACAUUGGAGACACAAUAGAAGUAAGGCCGCCACUACACUUUUUCUCCUUUUUUUAUUCUGUCUAUAAAACUUUUAGUUACAUAACAUAACAUAACAUAACAGGUAGCUUCAUUGACUUGUCUCUUUUUUUUAAUGUUUUGAGUUCUUUUUCUCUCAUGGAUUUGAUUAUUGAUACUAAUUUGCGUUAUGUAUAGGUUCUUACAAAUGGGAAAUACAGGAGUGUGGAGCAUAGAGCUGUGGCUCAUGAGGAGAAAGCUAGACUCUCAAUUGUGACAUUUUUUGCUCCUAGCUAUGAAGUGGAGCUUGGUCCAAUGCCUGAGUUUGUGGAUGAAAACCACCCAUGCAAGUAUAAAAUAUACAAUCAUGGAGAGUACAGUAAACACUAUGUAACAAACAAGUUACAAGGUAAAAAGACCCUGGAAUUUGCCAAGAUCCAAACCAAGAACACAAACUAGGAAGUUCCCUAACUAGUUAGGAGAACUAUAAUUAGACUGACUAAUGACUGUGUGUGUAGAAUUAAUUAUCUACCACAUAAAAGCAUCAUGGUCAAAUCUCUCGAUUCUAUUUUUGUUGAAAAAGUAGGCAAAGUAAUUAGUUGGAGUGAUGUAGGAGGGUGUGAUUGUGGGUCACAUACAGAAGACUCACUGUUUCUUAUUCCAAAUAUGUAUAUGCUAUAUAUCUCUCAAUGGAAACUAGUGGCAUCUUAUUUUAUAAGCUUUAUUUCCAAACUGUCUUGAUAUGUGGACAUUAAUGGUCUAAAGCACAAAAAAAGAAACCAAGAAUAAAGUAGAAUUAAAUGACAGUACCACUUCUCUCUCCAUAAUAUUUCUUAUAAGGAAAGAAGCAGGCAAUCAUGUGGAGCACUUCCACACAAAUAUUUUAUGAAAGAAUCAAACAGGAAGGGGACAAAAUCAUUGGUUGUCUUAUUGUUCUUAAGGGGAGAGCCUUUUUCUUUGUGAUCAGAGAGAAAGGAGCCCCGCAAGUAAUUUGUGAAUGUGUUAGCUAUUCAUAUAAUUGGAGGGAAGCACCAACCAAGGAAGUUGUGAUGGUUCAUAGUGAUGAUUCUCGGCUGAAAUGACAUUUAGGUGCUUUAAUUUAACAAUCAAUUAAGAGUUUAAUUCUUAUGUGUAUCAAUUAAUCACAAAAUCAACAAACUUAUUAUAAAUAGUCAUUUCUGACUAUCAAUAUAUUAUUAGUUUGAGUAAAAUUGAACUUGGAUCACUUAAAAAAGAUUUUGAAUUAGUUUUGUGAAGAAAAAAAAUAUGGUUGAAAAGAGACAUUCCACCAUAGUUGUACAAUCAGAUUUUUGAAAGAAAUUAGUCAUUAACAAAACUUAUAGACACAUCACACAAAUAUCAUAAUGAUAAAAAAUAGUUUUUUCUAAUUAAACGAGAGUGAGACAGAUAAUGUGAGACUUCUUAACACCCCUCUAUAUAUGUUUGUCAAAACAAGCAAACUUACUCGAAUAGGCAAGAAUCAAAAUAGACUAUAUACUCUCAUACCGUGUUAAAUUUAUUUUAAAAUCAACUAAUAUUAAGUGAAGUUGUUCAAAAGAUAUAUAAGUUAUAUUUCGAGAAUUGAAGAGGCGAUGUGAAGCUUCUUUAACAAUUAAGAGCAUGUUUGGGAAAAAUUAUAAUCUGUCAUUUCAGCUGUUUUUACGAUAGAAAAGCUGUCUGCAAAAUAAAUUAGCCAGCUUGAGAGCAAACCACGUUUUUCUCAUGUCUAUAUAAGUGAGGCAUACAGGGAAAAAGGAUGUACCUAUGUACUUUGAUAGGUGGUGGCAAGACAGUAGUAGUUCAGUCAAAAAUAUACGAAGGUGGAGUUGGGUGGGAUGGUACCUUAAGCCCAUGCGUGGUUUGGUCACACUCACUAGUGAACUAAGCAACUUACACACAACACAAUGUGUUGUUGUAGAGCAAAGGUUUAAGGCAUAAAAUGCUGCCUAAUAAAGUUGCAACAUGAAUAUGCUGCUUAACUAAGUGGGAAGUAAAAAUAUCAACAAAAGUACAGCAUCGAGACUGUUUGACGGUGACAUAUUUACUCAGUACCACGAUUAAACAAAGAGGCAAGUUACCUUAGUGGAUCCUACUUAAUCAGGCCACGAAUCCACAAAAUCGUCUUCCACUAUAGCAAUAUAGUAGUCACAGUCAUAUAAUUCAACUUACCUGAAUAAAAGUUAUACCCCAUUUUUUGUUUGAUCUAGAGACUAGUAUUCAAACCAAUUGAUUACUUUGAAUGGGGAUUUGUUUUUUUAAUAAAAAAAUGGGGUUAGGAGGAGAUUGUCAUGAUUUGUCUGAUUGUGUGUUACAUAACGCGUUUUAGUUCUAUCAGCUAAGCCUAAGCCUGCUAAUUUGUUCUGUAAAAUUAUGCAUCUUUUUGAAGAAUAUUUUCAGAUAUUUAAUGAGUCCUUCUAAUCAAAGGACUCAACCCAUCAUCUCCCAUCAUUUUCUGAUUCUCUAAUUACAAAAUAACACAUCACCAAGAAAAAUUGGGUCACGUUUGAUUUGAGGAUAUAUUUUUUGUUUUCAUUUACUGUAAUAGUUUUAAUUUUCACAUUUUCAAGGUAGAGAAUUUUAUUUUUAAUUAAAAGUUAUUUGUUUUUCAAUUAAAGUAAAACGGAAAGUACAAUGAUAUCAAUCCAUAAAUAACAUGCAUGGCUCAAAGAAGAGCAUACAGAAAUACUACCGAUACAUUCUAAUCCUCAUUUUUCAUACACUUUAUGUGACAUCCUUUAUCUCGAUAUAUAUAUUUAUAUAAUUAAAUACAUGAAAAUUUAGAAUUACAUAAAAUGAUUUUAUUCAAUAAACAUAAAGGAGUUCACGUGGGUAAAAUGUUCACAUUCAUGUUAAUCAUCAAAUAAAAAACUUAUCAAAUAAGGGUAUGAAAACAUCUCCGGCCUAAAACAAACUCAUCCAAUUUUUUUUUACAAAAGAAAAACAAGUUAAACAGCAGAAUAACAUAAAUCAACAUAUUCAGAACAUUAUGCAAAUAUUAUAAAAACUCAUGCCCCAAUGUCACAUCUUAUCAGAGUGUUGUGUCGCAGCGUCCUCUAGCACGAGAUUCUUUAAAUGCAUGAUUCAAGCACAAACAGCAUACAGAGAGUGAGUUAUUACAUUCCUAAAUAGGUAUAGAUAAACGAAAACACAUAUAUAUAAUAUAAGUAUAACAAGUUCAACUUAGCACAAUUCACAUCAUUUUACCACUCAUUGUGUAGCAUCGUUUGUCCCAAGGAUUUAAUCACAAAAUCACAUUUCACACAUUCACAUUAAUCACAUGUUCAAAACAACACAUCUUAAGUACAACACAACAUCUUACACUCACAUAAUUCAUUACCCACCAUCACGUAACAUGUCACAAUUAUCAUUGCACGUGUGUUAUGCAACAAAUAUACUAAGACUCAAUCUUAUAUGCAAUGUGCUACCAUGUCAACGAAAAAUCUCAUCGGACACUUAGGAGUACAUGAUAAGACAGACCACACGCUAGUAAAUCAGGUCACUCUCACUAGGUAAAAUCAUAGGAAGACCAGUCAGGGUCACUCUGAAGAGUCCGUUAGGGCCUCUCUCUUUUGAACCCAAAAAACAUUUUAACACACAGACUCUAUCUAUGAACUAUACAAAACACACGAAUCCUCAAUUGUUCUCAAAAUAAUUUUAACUCUUCAUGUUUCAAAGUGAUUCAACUCGUCGGGUUCUCACAGUGGAUCUCAUCACAAUAUUCGUCGUGCAUUAGCUUGCUGCUCUUAAAGGGUCUUACAGUCGUUUGAUUGUACGGUUCAUAACUCAUAACUAAAUUCACACAACAUCUCAAUGCACAUGUGAUCUCAUAAUUUAACACAUUUUUAAUUUGUCACUUACACACAGUUCAUCACACUUUCAUAAUUCCAAGACAUCAUGUUAUCACACCUCAUGCAUCAUAUACAUAUCAUACAAUAAUAAUAUUAAUAUGUUAUGUUCAUAUGACUAAUCAUAUCAUUAAAAUAGACAUUUAAAAUCAUACAUGUGUCACUAGAGUUUGAACUAUGCAAUACACACAACUACUCAACUAUUUUCAAAAUCGUUUUAACUCAUUGAACCUCAAAGUGAUUAGACUCAUCGGGUUCUUACAGUGGAGAUUAUCAUAAAACUCGUCGUGCAUUAACUCGUCGCCCUUAAAGGGUCUUACAGUUGUGUAAUUGUACAUGUCAUAACUCACAACUCAAUGUGUAAAAAAUCUCAAUACACAUGUAUUUUAUAAUUCAACACAUACUCAAUUUAUCACAUACAUUUAAUCUUAAUCACAAUGUUAUAAUCUCAAAGCAACAUAUUAUCACACGUCAUGAAUCAUAUACACAUCACACAGUAUUAAUAUUUACAUGGCACAAAACAUGUAUCUAUUAAGUCGAACUAUAUUAUUUUCAAUUAAAAAGAGUUAAUAAAUAAUUAAACUAAAAAUACAUUAAAAGUAUUUAUCGUUGAAUCUAAUAUAUUAAUUUCCUUCAAUUUAAUUUUAUUAUUUGAACUAUUAAUUCCUAAUUUAUUUUAACAAUUCAUAUACAUAUAUAUGUGUUAUAAUCAACAUGUAAUAAGCUUAUGAGACCAAAACAUGACAAAGAACGUUCCAACAUUCUAAUUUACACGCUAAUCUAGUAAAUCUUGUUCAAAACACAAACGAGUUAUACAAAAAUACUUCUCACAACAUAGGGAGUAAAACCUCUCAAACAAUUCACAUAAUCAUAUCAAAAUCAUACGUUCAAAAACAUGAAAACAUCAAGGGCAGUCAAUUUUAUUAACCAAUUCCCAUCAGGGCAUCAAUUGGUCUGUCAAACAUAACAAUCUCGUGAUUAUAAUCAUAAAGGCAAAAUUAUAAUACAAUAAACAUCCUAAAACAAAUCCCAAUUUGAUCCUCUAAGGAUCCCUACACAUGCUCAUUUUAAUCUCAAUUUUGAUAAAUUCAUCUUUUACCUUUAAGCAAGUUCA